UUAGAUAAGAAAGAAUGCUCGUUGGAAUGAAUUGAACUCGGAGUUCACCCCCUAUUUAGUAUAUGCUUGUCGGCUUGUCUAUACUAAGCUUUACUGAUAGCAAUUCUUAUAAAUUUCAAGAAACUUUCUCCUUGACCUCAGACUUUAGGAGCCAAUCACUGAACCUAUACUAGAAACUUAUGUUAGUUGUAGUUGUUAUGGAGUCCUGUGUUCGGGAGCUAAGCAGUAACAGCCUUAAGAGUUGCGCCUACGGGUUCGAGUUAGGGUUUGCAUACGACGACUUUAGCCUUGAAUGAAACAGUGACGUAUCUGUAUCAAACAAAGAAUAUAGAUAACUGACACAGUAACCGAGCCUUGCUUCAUUAGUAACAAAACCUUAUACUCGUUCAUUGCAUCCUUACUUGUGAGUUUGCUGCCUCCAAGCCUUACUCUUUAGUUGGCAUUCCACUAAUAAGGUUGACUUACAAAGAAUUCCAGACGGGAGUUUCCGGUUUCAAGUCAAGAGCACCAGAAUGAAAUAGUAUCUAAUAAGAACCAAAGACAGGAACUCUAUAGACAAAUACAGAUGUUAGAUCCGCAAUGGCAGUUGGAAGCUAAGAACAAGGACAGAGGCAGAGGAGAGGGAAUAGAAGCAGUGCGAGGAAAGUCUAGUGAUGAGUGCGAGUAAAGUCAGUAUAGUUCUGGGAAAUCCAAUUAACUGAGUUGCCUUACUUAAUAGGAAGGGGGGAAGGUUAGCUUAUCUUACUUAAUAGGAAGGGAUAAUGUGUUAGCUUAUCUUACUUAAUAGGAAGGGGAAAAGGUUUCAUAAACCCGUGCAACUAGGCUCCUGACGCCAUGCUUCAAAGCCAGGGUAAACUUCAAGGUAAACUCUGAUUGUCCCUCUCGCUACUCGCUACUAAUACGGAUGAAACUAAGGAUUACUUUAGCUACUUUCCUAGCCUUUAUUAUAUAAUGACUUUUGAACUCACUCCUACAGUUGCUCAAAAUAACUACACUUGAAUAACUGACCCCGACCUCUUCUACUUCUACUUUACUUAAAGAAUCGAUUGUAGCUUACUUUCACACAGCUGAUUCUUCUGCCACCCGCACUGCAUCUCUCUCUGUUCUCAAGUAUGGUGUUGGGAAGAAGGAUUCUCUUACCGGCUUUGAUGCGAGGUCUACUUCCGUAGUUGCUUGGUCUGUAUUAGGAGCUUGGCCCUGACUUGGAUGAUAGCAAUUCCAUUCAGAUUUCUUGCUCUAGUCCCGAUGCUUGCCUACUUACUAUGUGUUCGGGAGAAAGAGAAGAGGAGUGGUUUGUUGACUUAAGAAUCCAAUCCAAUCCAAUAGUCGUGAAAAGAAAUGAGAAAUCAGUAGUUAGUUGGCGGAUAGCAAAUCUGUCUGCUUGUUGGCUUGGCUCUAUGCUUUUGCAGUAUACGCUUGGCCCGGAUUGAGUGUCUAGUAAGUAGCUUGGCAGAGCAAGAGGAGAGAGAAGUAAAGGCUUUGAGACUAGGGGGAGAGAUUAUCUAUGGAAUAACUCUAUUAUAAUGUAUUUAUAUGCGCGAGUCUUGCCAAAGAAUGUUGACUUACCGGGCAUAAAAGAAAGGUGAACUCUGGUAUGCCUGCUUUGCUAGGGAAGGAAGGGGAGUGGACUCAGUUCUCUUGCUUAUAAAAGAAGGAAUUCAAGUGUUCCUGCCUCGGAUCCUGCUCUUCGAGACUUGACUCUCACUGCUGAUUCAGUUGGGUGGAACAGCUUUCUUUUCUUAUCAACAACAAAUAUCACUUUAGCGUAACAUUUGUAGUGUCUUAGCGGACCUGCCGAUACUGAAACUCCAUUGGGAAUAGAAGUCACUUAACACCUUAGGAUAAACGAUACACUAAAAUGAAAAACGGAUGGAAUUGUUCUUUAAUUGUUCCUGGUUUGACCAUACUAUUUCCCUAAUAGAUUAGAUAUUCUCUUUACUAUAUUAGAUAUUCUCUUUAUAAAUAAUAAUAAUGAAAAUCAGAUUCAACUCGGGGUUAAGAUAAGAGUGAAUAAAACGAUUUCAGCUCGCGCAUGCAUUUAAACCACUAUAGGAGCAAGUUCUUUAUUUGUUGUUUGUUGACUACGGGGAGGUAGGCGCAUCAACUAGGGUAGUGACUCAGUGCAAGGCCAGAUCAGAUGACGCCAGCAGGGUUCAAUGAACUGUUGCCAUAGGUGGCGGAGCAAGAGGAAAAGCAAUAGAAGCAGUGAAAGUUAGGUCUACCAUGAAUUCUAAGGGCAGAUCGAUCAGAUGCAAGCGGGAAAGAAAUCAAGACGAGAAAGAGCGGCCCUUUAGCGACAUUUGCUUGUUUAUUAUGAUAGUUGUAUUUGCUUUCUUUCUGUGGUAAAGCCAGAAUCAGCCCUCGGCUUUAUGUGAUGUAAUUAAAGUCAAUUUAUUGGUGCUGUCUAAGUCGGAUAGAGAAGAUAAGGAAAAGAGCUUAAUAAAGGGAUCUUAUAUUUCUAAUCACGUGGAAAACAAACCACUAUUGAAACUAUCCCCGUCGCGGGAGUAAACAUCAUACUAUUGGACUGCUGGAACUGCUGUUGUGUCGCGUGGUAGAAUAAGUCCUCGUCAAAAGCCCUACGUUUGAUCCUCUGUGGGGCGCUGGGCGGGCGGCAGGCAAAAGGAAUAAACAGGCUGUGCGCUUACCCAUUUGAUAAAUAGAAAUGUCUAGGCCUACAAAGUACCCCAAUGGAACAGGCUCUAAGAGGUAUUCAAUUAUACAAUGAUGAAAUUGCUCACUUAUAUUAGAGUUAGUAUGUACCCCGGGAUGGGACGAGGUAAAAACACCUAACUACAAGAAAGGAGUUCCAGAUGGGCAAGCAAGCGAUAGUAUUCUGCCAAAGCAAAAAGCACAAUCCAAUGCUAUUCUUAACUUCCAAUCCCUACCGAUUAGAAUGUUAGUCAAAUAUGCUCCCUGAUAUGUGUCCUCCACUUCUAUAUAUAAUGUAUUCCUCCACUUCUAUCCUCUGGUAUUUAUGAAUUCGUGGAGUAUGCCUGAUUUUGGAGGCUAGCUCUAUAGAAUAUGGGAUCUUUAUCUAGUCUGGGAGAUGUGAAAAACCCCUGCACGUGUAUAGGUUGUCAAUUAUAUAGUAAGAGGGCCCUUAUUGAUGAGACUUUUCCGUUUUACCGUGAAACACUCCGCUACACUAGUAGUUACUUGGCUGAUAGCAUUGGUGGUGUAUAGGUAUGUGAGAGUAUCCUUCCCUACCAGAGUUACAGAAGCAAGCGGGUAUCUCGGCUCGGGCUAAACUCUCUUCUUUAAUUCCUCUUUUACGAAGCUACUCUAUCAGUCACUCAACCACAGCAAUAAGGCUUAACCGAGUCCUAAUGAAUAGCGUCAGUAUCCUCUUAGGUCCUAUCGAACAAUAACUUUACUACCAAUCGGACUACCUGGACUACCAGUGUCGGACUACCUGGACUACCUGUACUACUACUUGCUACUGCCUUGGCUUCAAUCCUAUCCUACAAAACUCCCCUUUCUUUCCUUCCCGCUUCUAAGCCUCCAACAAAGCACUUAGUAUAAGCUUGGCCAGUUGACUGUGUAUUCGUUUAAUAAAUCUCUGUUGAGUGUAAGUGGAAUGGAAUGAGAAACUGCCCUGCCCUACUACUCGGUAAAUGUUUGUUCUGGCGUGAAAGCUGGGUUCAUGGAAUAUCAUAGGAGAACCUUUAGCCUCCGAUUCUAUCGCUUACAUCGGAAUUUCAUAAUUUCAUUGUUGAGCACAUGGUCCUGGGAUAUAUGCUUGUAAAGACACAGCUUACCUAUCUUUUUCAUCUUAUUAUGUUUCUUCCAUUUGUGACCUGAUCCUGAUCAAUAGGGCUCUGCUUCCAAAGCUUCUUAUCCCCUUUUUCUGCUUACUCACCUGAUCCAGCGUCUGCUGCUUCCUUUCGCACUCGACUUUCAAUUACAUCUGCUCUCGGAGACAAAACCAGAACUCAACCUUUACUUCCCACGACUUAACCCUACUUUAGAGCAGAGCAGGACUACUCUACUGCACCUCCGGCUUAUCUCACUCCAUUUAUUUUAUACCAGAAUUCGGCUCAACUCUUGCUCUUUCAAACAAGACUGUUUUGGUUACUUCCAUUGCCCACCUCGCCAUUACUAGAUGCGCUAUUCUUCACCCGGGGGCAUAUACUAAUAGCUACUAAAACGGAGGUUAAUAAAUAACAUAUUCAAUAGGUACACUAACUGUAAACUCUUUUCUUAGGAGCUGCCGCCAUGAAUACAGGACUCAGAAGGUGGUAGCAGUGCUUGUUCAACAAUCCUAUAGAAAGUUAUAUGGCUUUUCUUAUACUUAGUGUCUACAAUGUGUGUACAGUGGAAAUGAAAGUCGUUUCUCAUUUUAUGGAAUUUUAUUGAAAAGAUUGAACCACCCCGGCCUUUGUUUAUCGAGUGAAGUCAACCCUAGGGUAGGGGUAUCGAGGCAUAACAGCAUUGAGUGCAACAGGAACUUACUAAAAGAACAGGUGCAAUGAUGGGUGUUUGCGACCAGGUGCAAUGAUGGGUGUUGGGAAGAAAGAUGAUCUUACCUAGCCUCAAAGCCGGUACAAGUCCUGUAUUCGACCCUUAAGAUUAUAAGCUAAUACGCAUUCUUUUGCCCCUAAGUGGGUAUGAAAUGAGAUUCUCCCUAUAAAACUUCGAAACAUGCGAAAGAGUUUCUUUUAUGCCCUAUUCUUACCGGGUAGUCAACUAUAGUACAUUUGUUGCUGCCGCUACACAUGAUAAGUGCAGGAUGAUGGGGGGUGCAAUGAAAUUACAGAAAUAUGCAAAUAAUUGAUCAACCCCUUUCUUAACCACUGAUCUUUCCCCUCUACUGUAACUGUGUAAGACACCCGCCCUUAAGGAUAUCUUCUCCUUAUAUAGGAUUCUAUUUAUGAUUCCACUCGGGGUUAAAACACAGAUGAAACUCGGGAUGAAACAACAACAAGAGCAAUACGCAGAGCAAUACCACCUAGGGAAGCUGCCCUACUUUUUGAUACAGCCUCCACUGCCUCUGGUUUUGGGCCUGGCCUCUACUUCUUACUGAACAGCUGACCUUGGAAACCCGACACCCAUAAUAAGUGUUAACCCAGGCACUGGUUCUUGUUAGCACCGGUUUCAGGCUUAGAUGUACUGGUUUGGUUCUGUAACUCCUUUGUCUCAGUCUUGCUUCCCUUGCUCUCAGGCUUGGAGGCAGCGGUUGGUGUCUGAUCGGAUCUAGUUUGAUUCUUGCACUGCUGGGGCACAGUCUGAGCCUACUUAGUGUCAUUCCGAACCUACCCGGCAUCAGGCUCGGAAGCAUGGGUUUGAGCCUCAGUAGCACAAGUAUCAGGCUUGGAUUCACUGGUUGGUGUCCGAGUAGCCCUGUUAGCACUGUAUUAAGUCUGCUCGGCACCGGUAUCAGCCUUAGAUGCACUGGUUCAAUUCUGAUAGUAGAUAGGUCAAUUCUAUCACUCCCUUGGUUGAGUCUGUUUCUCACCGGUUGAAGCCACCAAGCAACUACUAAUGACCGCCAAGACACUACUAACGUGGCGCUAAAGUGAGUUUUAGGCGGCGCAAGACGUUGUGCGGUAGUCAUGAAUAACGAGUUAUAACAAAUUAUUACCAAGUCCUGUUUUUGGGAGCCUGUUGAAAUAAACAAAUCAAUAUCAGGAUAAAAGGAUAGUUAUAGGGAUAGAUCCAGCAGUUAUGAAAGCAGGAUCAUGAGCCGGGGGUGAAGAAUCGAUUACUUUACCGCUACUCUGUCACUUUGUCUCCUUUCUUUGCCUUUGCGAAAGAACUCCCUAUCGCCUUGUAAACAACUACUGAUCUAAAGUCUAGUGAUUGUAUCUCUCUAAGCCAACUUACUGCGCGAAAAAAGAACAUUCCUUCCCAUAGAAAUUCUUUCUUAUAUAGUAGGAUAACGGAUUACAGAAUCAAUCUCUCUUAUCACUGACAACCCUCGCUAUGAACCUAGACAAUUGAACUCAGUCUUGAAUUGAUUGUUUAACAAAAGCACAAUCACCUCCCUCCUUAUGCGCUAGACGAACACAGCACUCCGAGGUUUACUUACUGGUUGAAUUCUUCUUCUUACCCCCCCGGAUUCUCUUUCCUACCUUGCCUGCCUACGGAGCACUGGAUUUCUUUCUGAUAUAAGUGAAUGAAACUCUAAGUGAAUGAAACUCUGGGUGCCGACCUCAACUAUCACUGCUUCCUGCUUCCAAAACUAUCUCCUUACUUGCUGGCUCUUGAACAUAUAACCAGUAAUAAAAGCAUCAAAACUCUAAACCACAUGACUUGUUCAUAACGCGGACUCGGACUUGCUCAACCUUCUUCUAAAACAUCUGCAGCCCAUACCUAUCUCCUUGACCUUUCAGUGAGGAAUGUCAUUGAACCUAUGGAGCACCCGGCCUCUUAUCUUUAUUAUGAUUGAUCUUAUGCUUGGGCCCGGACCUGUACUACAUUAUGAAAUAGAUCUUGAAACGGAUGAAGUUGCUUCUACUGAUACUUACUUAUGAAUGGCAUUCAUUAUUGGUAGCCAUGGGUGUAGUAGCCUUAGGGGGUCUCAUUCUAUGAAUUGUAGGAAUUAUAGGAAUGGACACUCAACUUAUUAUAGAGGCACAGAACUACAAAGAGCGGGUUGGGGCUUGCUGAGAGUACUAGGGUUGGUCAGCUACCAAAGAAAGUAUUGGAUCCAUAGAGCAAGGGGCUCGGCAUUAAAUAACCUAGUCAUCAAUAAGACUAGUCAUCAAUAAGACUAGUCAUCAAUAAGAAAGGUAGGCUAAGCUCAUAACUCUAUAAACAGGACCCUAGAUUGCUGCUUCCACUUAAGAAAUACUUCCUUAAAAUGAAACCAAUCAUGAAACUACUACUAAGGCAAAGAACCAAGCCCUAACGCCUUAACCCUUCUUUUCAACUGAUUUAUUUGUGGAUGUAUUAGUAGAGCAGAGUAAUAAUGAGUUUACUUCGCACUUUUCAAACUCCUAUAAGUUAGUAACAAUCUGAUUGUCUCUUUUCCUUCUCCUUUCCUUUGAUAGCUAGGUUAGAAAUAGAUUUCAUUAGAAUGCCUUUUGACUACAAUCUUCAUUCAGCAGUAAGUAGAGAUGGAGAUGAGCAUUCGGCUUCAGGAUACUUUGACACUGAUUGAUUUUGCGCUUAAGACAGAAUUUCCACUUAUGCAUUCGAUAAGAGAGAGUCGAUUAACCGCUAUGUGGGCAGUUGAGAACUUGGAUUGAUUCAAUUCUGGAGCUUAAAUAAGGGCAGGCAAUUCGGGUAAUUACUUUGAGCUCCAGCAGCACAAUUAGUUUAGUGUUUAAUGAGUUCCUCUGGUCGACCACAACUCUGUUAAGGGUGGAUUAGGACAUUUACAAACUAAGGCAAACACAUAGCAUAGCGCCAAGCUACUAUGUCUGCUAGCUCUACAAAACUCUCAGCAAUAACGGGGUAAACUCACUCAGACAACUAUAACUAUCCCCUGGCAAACUCCUCUGGCUAACUUUCAUUCUUUCUUUUCUAGGAGAGCUUCACUGAUUGAACUCGGGACGACACUGGGGAUGAAACAACUUUAGGAGAUUUACCCUGACCGAUAGCACUCAACUAAACUUCCUUCUUCAGAAGCACUAACUUAGGUAAAUUCUUCAUACAAAACUCUCUCUCUUAUCCUUCUUUCUCAUGCUCUUAUCCUUUAAAAGUAGCGAGGGUUGGAUAAGGUGGGCAAGGGAUAUCAAAAGUGACUUUCGAGGAGAGGCUGGCGAGGCAAGAAAGAGAUAGUGAUUGUGCUGUCGACGAAAGAGAGAGAAGAAGGCCUGGCCUGUAAACACCUAACCCGAAGCGAAGAAUAAUACGCUCAUCCUCAUAUAUAUAUCAAGUAUGAAUUUAGAGAUUAGUGAGGAAGAUUUGUAUUGACUUUUGACUAAGUCCGUUUACCUUUCUUAUGGCCCAGAGAACACCGGAUGACUAAUCUUAGUAUCUAACUCCGUAAGCGCUUCCAUAUAUGAUUACAAAGUGCCGGCAAACCUGAGACAAGGAAAGGAGAAGGGCUUGAAGAGUGGAAUUGGAUCCGAAGUUGCCUUGAAAGCCUAAAGUAGAGAGUCAAGGGCGGGGGACAAGACGGCCGAUGGCUUCCACUCCAUUUCCUCACACUUAUAUUAGAAUUCGAACAAGCCCAAAGCGCAAGUAGGUCCAAGUCGUCACGAGCAGCCACCGUUUCGGAUCCAAAAGUCAAGAGGGCGAGUUGACUCGGAGAUCCUGCUCCGAACUCCACUUGAAGAACCGAGAUUAUAGUCUUUUCAAUCAAGCACUCGAAGGCGCUCGACUUUCAACGAAUCACUCCUUAGGGGGGCAAGUCCUGUUUCGUUAGCACAGCUCACUGAUCGCCAACUACAGGCUCGAUAUGACCAAUCUGCUCUUCUUACUUGAGAGUUUGAUACCUUCCGAUUUGAAUAACUCGCUGACGCGGUAGUCCGGAUCGGAACCCGUUUGUUAUAGAUUUGAUGUUACUGGUUAUGCUCCUACUUCUACUAGCUUUGUUAAGAGCAACCAAGCAACUACUAAUGUAUAGCGGUAGCGAGCGGAAAGGACUUACCCGCAUGAAACAACUAAGUAAUAGAAUUGAACUACCGGUAUUGAACAAGAGAAGAGAUUUCCCCUCCUAGCCUAGGUAUUAUAGAAAGCUUGUUCCCCAGCUCUCGCUCUAGGUAUGAUAGAAAGAAGUGACCAACUGCUCUCGCUCUAGGUAUGAUAGAAAGCUUGUUCCCUGCUAUUGCUCUAGUAGUUGAUUGGCGUCUAGGUUCGUUGCGAGGGAAGGUUAGCUAGCUCUAAGUCUGCUCGGCAAGUUCCAUUUGUUGAGUGAGAGUUGUUAUCAUGCCAGAUCGGAAAAGGCAAAAGCGCGUGGACCUGCUCACGGGAGUAAGGCCUGCUCAGUAGUGCAGUAGUGGGCAGACGGGCCAUCUUAAAUGAUUGAUAUAGGAGGAAAAGGAGCAGCUGUAGAAAAGCAAUUACACUGGGUUUGGUUCUCAAUUCCAUAGAGUAUGUGCAGUGAAGUUUGAAUUUACCCGGUUAGCUAGACCUUUCGCUACUGUCCUUAAACUAUAGUUCAACCGCUUUGCUUUAACAACAAGAUUGAACUGAGAAGUGAACGCAACGCGGAGUUGGUUAAACCUGAGCGUAGCUAUGUCGCGUGAAGAACCUAAGCUUCCGACUUUAGAAACACCUUCCACAGAGCACAAGAAAGAGGUAGGGUCGCACAAGAUAGAGGUAGGCUUGUCAGAUGGAUAGCUAUAGUCUCUAGUUGCUUUCUUUAUGUUUUGGGUAGUAAUUUCUUGUAAUAUAGCUUUUACAGGGAGACCAAGAGAAAGGGGUUUGGUUUGAUUUAACGCCGAGAAAGAGAUGGAGAUAUAGAGCCAGUGAGACCAAGAUCCAGAGGUCAAGGAUUUAACGCCGAGAAAAGGAUAGAUGGAGAUAUAGAGCCAGUGAGACACAGCUUCAGCGGUGCUAUCCAAAACCGCCUUCUCUGUGCUAUCAGAGAAACUCGUCCUUUCUCUUUACCUUUGUGCUUCCGUGGUUCGGUCAGCUUUGAAGCAUCGUCCCGAAUCAAGUCAUACAAGAAGUAAGUUGAAGUAAGAAUGGAACUAGUACUAGAUGCGGGCCAAGUAAGCGGAUGUAGUGAGGCCAAGGUACUACUAAACAAGGUACUCUUGCUAAAGCCACUCAAAAGUCAUAAAGUAAGUCAGAUCUGAUGCUGCCGAGCCGGGGGAACAAGCAAACUACUUCAGAAUGGAAUGGAAAAGUCGUUCUUGUGAACCUACCUUUACCUAAGUAAACUAAUUCUGAUUUCUUACCCCGACCCGACCUCUAUACUUCUAUUCUACCAACAAGAAUAAAGCUAGCAACUCUAAACUACUGGCUCUGCUCUGUCAACUAAUUCUGGAAUUCUACCUUAGGCUCGUCUCUGGUCAACUAAUCAAAUGGGAAAACCAUCAUCUCCACUUAGAAACAGCCCUUCUAAUGCAUUUGUAGCGUCACAUCUUAUUUGUUCAAAGCCAAACUCUCCAGAACAGGAAAACCUCUGGCACAAAGCAACAAACAACGACGCAAGACGAACAAACAAGUAACGGUGAGCUGCUCGCAACAAGACGAAGUGUGCUAACACGGGGGGAAUUUACUUAAUGGAAUUGUGGAAUGGAGUCCUAAACUACGGAAGUGCGAACUCCUCACGCGCAAGUCAAAGAUUCCAUUACUGUUUUAGGAGUCCCCUAAGUUACCGGAUUUCUAUUAGCAGAGCAACACAUAGGCUAAACAACGAUUAAGAAGAUGAACGCCUUUCCCUCAAACACAUAACUUCUUGCUGUAGGGGGCCCCAAUACGGAAUUGAUUAUCUUGCUUCGAGCUCCCGUUAACGAGUUACUCUUAUUCUUAUUCUCUUAUCACUCAACUCCUAACAUAGAAAUAAGGAACUCCCACGUUAGCGAGCGGAACUGCUUGUUUCAUGGACACUCCCUUCACUGAUGCUACUGAGUCUUGUUGAGGAAGAAAUCAAAUCCAAUCAACAUUUCUUCACAGAUGCGCUUUCACUCUCUUGCAGGGCAUAUAAUUCUCUCUUCUCACAAGCAAGUAAAUACGGAAUUGACAGUGGAUCUUAAGUCCAAAAAUCAUUCCAAUAAGAGAUUGCACUCGGUAUGAAACUGGCUGCUGGCAAGGCAACUACACCUCGACUCUGGCUCUGUCAACUAAGACUUUUAUUGCUCUCAUCUAACUCAAUCUCAAUUUCUUUUAUACCUUCAUUCGGCUCAUAUAACUCUGGCUCAUCUCUGAUAUAAUACUUCUGGCUCCCAACGGGCUCCUGCCUAGCAACUCCUUUAGCACAACAAGAAGCUCCCUGCCGCGUAACGUUAGUAGUUACUUGCCUGCUUGUCUGCUUUGCCCUUCCCGCAACAAAAGCACCCGCCCCCUAAUCUAUUGUUUUCUUUCCUGCGGAGACGAUAGUGCCCCGCAACACUUAGGAAUUCCAUUCUCAAUUCUGACUUCCGGAACUCAUUAACACACUUACACUUAGUCUUGCGAAAUAGCUUGUGGAGUUAUCUUUUUAGCCCAGAGCGUAGGAACUUAUUCAACAUCCUUUACCAGAGAGUAGCCUUGAACCAUAAAGAUUAGGGGCGUCAAUUCAUUCGUUGGACAGUUCUUUACUAAUUUCUUGCAACUUACUUUCGACAGUUUAUGAUCUUGCUUGGGGCACUCACUGGAGCUUUAUAAGGACAUUCUCCACUUAGUCUUGCCCGGACGGAACUACUUUAAACGUCAGCUAGACAAGAAGAAUAGGCCGACUCCCUACAAGCAAGGGAGCCUUAUUGUCAGAUUCUUCCUAAGCUUGUUAUCGAGCACAAGGUAUAGGUUCUAUGUAAAUACAUAGCUUCCCCAUCUUGAUCUUAUUCAUCUAUUACCUACCUAUAAACUAGGAAGAUGACCCCUACCCCCAACUCGCACGUACUAGGCUAGAUUUGUUAAGAGCACAUACGAAGUGUGACCUUAGAGCCCAUUGGUUGGUAAGAGAGAAAGAGUACUAGCACCACUAGGUUUGAAAGAAAGAUUCUACUGUCCAAAACAACCAGGACACAAGUAGUGGUAAAGUGGAAUCUCAUAUAUAAAGAAGUAAUUACAGAAUCAGAGGUGAAGUCGAACCAUAAAGAAAUGGGGGUCAAAUGAGAAUGGAGUCAAAACUACCACUUUGCUAUAAAAAACCUAGAAUGAGAAUGGAGUCAAAACUACCACUUGCUCCCUUUCCACUCAUGGCAACGUACUAACUAACAUAUAAUAAGAUAGAAUUCAUUUUCUAGGGUUUGUUAUACAGUGUGUGUAGAGGGGAGCGGCAGGAGCGGAUGUAUGAAUUCAACAAGUCAGUUGGAAACCCGCUAACGGAAUGAAACCACGUUAGGUCUACUCAAUAAUCAGCAGUGGCUAAAGGGAGAGUUGUUGGCAUUCCUCAUCAACAUCAAUUAUAUUACAUGUGUGUGCUCGAUAGAUAAAAUAAGUUAUAUUACAUGUGUGCGCUCGAUAGACUCGAUAGAAAAAAGAAGUUCAAUCAGCUUCUGCACUGCACUCGACUGAAUCCAUUCCAUGCGUUGGCAGAGCUCGGGAAGUCAAUAAUUUGAGCCAGUUGACAUAGGUAUGCCUCAUUCAGUUAAAGCGGAAGUGGGGGCGAGGCAUAGAAGCAGUUUGAAGUCCAGUCUCAAUCAGAAAGUAUUGUUUCGGGUGUUGGCUAAAGUGCAUCUACCCUUAACUCGUCUUCUCAAGCUUAUGUAUCAAAGCCAGUCAGAGAUUUAGCACCCGAUCUUGACUCUAUACUUCAAGUUUCAGAAUAUCUUGCAGUUUAUGGAACUCUACUCACCAAGCUAACCUUAGCAAAGAAAGGCAUCGCAUCGAUACAUACACCCUAAAUCCCCAAAGGCCUACAAACGAGGAGGUCGCGGUACGGUGUGAGCAAAGAUCCUUGACGAACAGGUAAUCCAAAAAAAAGAAUCCGUAAAUCCAUGGAAUUUGUUGAUGGGACAGUAACUCGAUUGAGUCUCAUAAUGAAUUGCGUGCAUGCGCGGUAUGCUCUUCUGUCUGUCCUGUAUUAGUAAAGAGUGAAGUAGUCGCCUAACUGUCCACUGGCCCUAAACUAGAUGGCAUGGGUAGCGGUCCUUCAUCCGUUCUGACUAUGCGCGCAUAUCUUUGAUUCUUAUGGGUAGCUAUCUUGCCUUCUUCCAUAAUGUACUAGCGCUCCCGUCACGUCCUGGUUAAACGGUAUGCUGUAGUUUGCUUGCUCACUCUAUGAAACAAUAGGCUUGAAGCACCCGAACACAGGACUAGUUUGCAUCAACCCCGGUAGCAUCCUUUAGCCUGAGAUACCCGCAUGUUAGAUCUGAGGCAGCAGAAUGGCUAGUAGGGCCUGCUUCUUAUCUAUAAAAGAAAGGGAAUGCGCUAGCAAUUAUGAUAUUCUAAGGGCCUAUUGAUAUGACUGAUAUGACAGAUAUGACAGAUAUGACAGAUAUGACUGAUUUAAGAGAUUUGCUGUUGAAUACCCAAUGGAAUCUCUCCAGCCUAUAAGAUUGCUUGUUCCCCGAAACACCCAUAAGCAUUAGCACAAGGGCGAACUCACCCCACCCCUAGAUUCGAAUAUCUGAUUGAUGUCGGCACCGCAUAACUCCAGUAAGCGCAACCAACGGGUAGCUCGAAGUAGGAAGCUUCUGCCAUUGCUUUAAGAGAAUCAUCUUUAUGGGUUGGCAGCCUCAGGUACAGAACUAACAUUAGCUAAAUUGGGGCGGAGCAGAAGUCAAUGCGCGGUGCGGAAGUAAGUCAAAUAGAGAUUUCUUUCUGGAUUUCAUUACAGGUGUGCUACAGUUCGACCUGCCUUAAAAGACUCAAAAGAUGGGUAGGCUUGGGUCAUUCCAAUUGACUAGCUAAUAGUUACACAUCAUACAUGUCUUGGCGGUUCAUUUAGAAUCUCCUUAUAUAUGAAACAAGACUUCACCGAGGGAAAAGGCUCGCUACCGUUUAGCUCAACUCCCGAAAGCAUCUAUUGUACUAACUUCGUUAUGACUGUUUAUUGGCUGCCGCGUAACAUUAGUAGUUACUUGGCCGCCUAGAUCGGCUUGGUCAUUAGUAGUUGCUUGGUGCCUGAAACCGAGUAUCUAAGCAAAGAAUAUGAGACUCCCUUCCAUACCUAACAAAGGAAGUGCAUAGUUGACAGCAGGGGUGGGCAGACCGAUGCUAGUGCUGGGCGGAAUACAACCACUAAAUCCAAGACUUAAUCCAGUGCUUCCAAGGCUUCAACCCGGUAGUCCAAGAACCAAGCCAGUGCCAGCAAGACUGAACCGAGGGAGUGACAGAGUGGAGCUAGGUAAUAUGAGACUGCAACCAGUGCUACUCAGAAUGGAGCUAAGCAGUAUCGGAAUGGAGCCAGUAAGGGAUAGAAUUCCAUAGGUACUCGAAAUAGCGCAUUCCUUUAAUGACUAGUUGAAUUCCUUUACUCACUAGUUCCAUUCAGACUUGAUAGUGGCAUUACCCUUAGGCAACAGACCUUAUUCACUUAUUAUUGCAGACCUAGCUCAGCACUAUGGUUCUUACCUGAAAGUGCAUUUAUUAGUGUUUAAGGGCACCCGGGAUAUGUAUUCUAUCUCUUCCAUGGGUAACACUCUCACCUGAACUCAUUCACUCCCCGCUUAAGAUCUUUAUUCCCGGGUAUCAAGGACAUAGGCAGAGGAAAACAAAGGGUUAGUUAGGUCUACUCGAUCAUAGGCAAGAGAGGUUGGGGCUGGGGCAAGGGAUAAAGCUAGUUCAAUGUUCUAACGAGUUAUUCCGGAAUCCUAUAUUAUACCAUUUCUUUGAUACCUUAGGCUCCGGCGGCUACUAAUACUUCUUGAUUUCCUACUUACUUGUUCAAUUGGUGCAAAGACAGAACCCCGAGUGAAAUCCGUUAUUGAAUCCGAAAACAGGACAAUUAAGUUAGAUGAGAUGCUCUAGCUCUAGUAUUGACUGGCAAGAAGAUAACUUGAUUAGUUGGACAGAGGAGAGGAAUAGAGAGAUACAAUCAAUCCAGUGCGGGUCGGGUCAGAAAGGGAAGCACUUAUGGAGGUCGGGUCGGGUAGGUAGGAAAUACUAGUGAGGGUUCAUUCCUCUGUUACUAGGCUAGCCUCUGUUACUAGGCUAGGAAGUCAGUUACUAGGCUAGGUAGUGGUCCUGUCGAAUCUGUAUUAGUUGCCCUAUUAAGUCGGAGUGGUGAGUUUACAGAGGUCAGAGGUGGAUGAGCCUUAAGUUUCAUAGGUCAGUUAUUCUUAUUGGAAUACCGAUCCAGUUCUUGUGAUAGUUGACUCCCUUGUGUCAGUUGCCAGAGUAGAGGUCGGGUUGGUAACUUCUGGUAGUACUGGCUAAGUAGUACUUGUGUGAAGCAAUGAGUCAAUAGAGAAAGAGAACGACGAGAACCAGUAAGUCGACAGUCGUUGCUUGGCCCCUUUCCUAACUUAUGAACAAGAACAGGAGCUGGAAGGUAGAGACCAUAGGAUAAGAAUUCAGCAAGUCAGAAUGGAACUGAACUCUGAACGGCGUAGUCAAAGAAUUAAUAUAGUUGUCGACUUGGCCCUCUCUUUGGAUUUGUAGUAUACGCUUUGCCAGGUGCUGGUAUUUCAUUUCACUCCUAACCGGUCAGAAACUCUGUUACUUCGGACUCCUGCACUAGUAUACGCUUGGCCCCUAUUCUUAGAAAACCUCUAUUCCCGCUUCUUAAGCACUAACUGACUUAUAUAAGAGAUGAGAUGAGCCAGAGUCGAGGGAGAUGAGAAAGCAUCUUGUUUAGAUGAGCCAGAGUUGGAUGAGCCUCAUUCAGUUAGUAAAGACAUCAAUUGUUAGUAAAGAUUCAAUCAUAUCUCCUAUAGUAAAGAUUCAAUUAUAUCUCCUAGGCUGAAACAAAUAAGUAGAAGAGACAACCAACCACUUUUUACCGAUGAAUCAAUUUGAUCAAAUCAUAAAUAAACCAGAAAGCUCGUUCGAGUUAAACGAUACCGAAUAAGUAGACACACAGUAUACAAAAAGCCAUACAAAUUAUAUCUGUUAUUAUUAAAGAUAGCGUUUAGAAAGAGAGAAGCUCCACAGGGUCGGGGUGAACACUUAUAAGAGUUCGGUUCGGGGUUAACUCAUCGGUAAGAACCAAGACACCAAUAUUGGAAGAACAGAAAUGAUCAAAACCAUCAAAUCAAAGAAAUGAGAAAUAUUUCAUAAAGUAGAAAACUACUCGGAAAUUACUACCCGAAGCUGCCGCACAACAUUAUAAGUUGCUUGGCCCCUACUUCAUUCUAUCUGUUAUUAGUAAGGAUUUUGUUGAGAAAGAGAGAAGCUGCUUUAAUAAGAGAAUAGUUGGAAGUUGCCAGAGCUCGGGUCUAUUGGAGGUCGGGUCGGGCCUUCAGAUAGAGUUAGCUCCGGUCUGUAAGGGAAGCAGUUCAUAGUUGUAAGAGAGGAGCCUUAGCCUUGUUCAACUGAUUGUCUUUCUUUAUCCGUGCAUUAAAUCAAUCCUAUGUUAAGUUCUAGUUAUUUUAUGAUACUGUUUGUGUACUGAGCACUUAUGUCUCCAACACCUCUGAUAGAGAGUUAUAGGCUUUCCUCACAUAUAAGGGGAGUGGAAAUCCAUCUUUUUAUCGUCCUUGUUUCUCAAUUCCAACAGUGUUAAGUGAAAACCAUUCUUUAGUUCGAUACCGGUAAGUCAACUAGUUCAAUUAGACCUCGCUUCAAAGCCGAAUCUUGACUCGCUCCUCUCGCUACUCGCUACAAAUAAAGAUGAAAAAGCACAACUACUGGUUUCAGGGUAAACUAGGCAAGCAACUACUACAAAGGUUCCAUUUUAGUAAUAAUGUAUUAAACUCCAUUAUUAAAGGAAGGAGCUCUGUCGAUAGUCUUAGAGAGAAGAAUGCCCAGUGCCUGUUCUAAAGUAGUAAGUCGGGUUGCUAGUUGUUUAGAGUAGCGAGUUUCUUUCUGUGACGGAUUAUAAUAAGGGUUCAAUUCAGAACUUCAAUACCAGAGGACAGGUAGGCGAGAGGGAGAGUGGAAUACCGGUAGUACUAUGGCGUAAAGGUCUAGGUCAUCUGCUUGUGUUAAGCAAAGAAGGUUUCCAUAUCCUUUGCAUAUCCUUUGUUAGCUUUUCCACUCCUAUAUUAUAGAUUAUCUUAUUAUAGGAUGACUAUUAACCAGACUGAUACUAUUACCACGGAGACUUAAGCGAGCAAGGACAGGAACCAAACACCUAACAACAAGACUUAUACCACGGCUUCCAAGCCUGAUACUGAUGCUUCUAAGUCCGAUGCUGGGUAGCUCGGGUCUCUGUUUAAGGGUAGUAAGUCCGAUGCUAGGUAUUGGUACUCAGAUUGAUGCUCUGUAGCUGGGGUCUUCAACUCACUCUAAAAGCUCCUACCGCUUUUCAGCUCGCUGACGCGACACGUUAGUAGUGUCUUGUCUAGUAGUUGCUUGGUGCCUGAAACAGGGUAGUUAAAGAAUGGAACCAGUAAGUAGUAGACUCAAACCGGUGCUGGGCAGACUGUUGCUAGUGCCACUGAUUCCCCGCUGCUAGGUUAAGAAUCAAACCGGUGAGUGACAGAAUGGAACCAGUCAAUCCAAGCCUAAUACUGAUGCUACUGAGGCUCAAACCCAUGCUUCCAAGCCUGAUUGCGGUGCGGGUAUACUCGGACUUAAACCAGUGCCCCUCAGGAUUGACCUCAGGAGUGCAAGAAUGUAGCUAUUGGGUGUAAGGCUUAAACAGGUGCUUCCAAGGCUGAUACCGUUGCCGGGCAGGCUGAUGCUAUUGGUACUCGGAAUGUAGCUAGUUAGUAUGGGACUGAUGCCUAACAACCAGAACCAGUGCCUAGCAACGGAGAAUGGAGCUAUUGGUAUUGAUUCUCCGUAUUGGUCACUCGGGUCUCUAACCACUACCGGCAAGAAUGCAACCACUGCAAAUAAGACUGAUGCGGUGCCCACUAUUCCUGUCGUUAGGGUAGCUACUUCAGGUCUUAAACCAUUGCUCGACAGACUACAACCGCUGCAUCCAAGGCUUAAAGCGGGGGUAGUGAGAAUGCGACUCGGUAUCGAAAGAACCAAACAAGGGAGUGAAGGACUGUAGCUAGGUAGUUUAAGAAUAGAACUGGGGCUAAUCGGUCUGAUGCCAGUAGUUGCAGACUGAAGCUAUGUAGUUAGAGAAUAGAGCUAAGUCGACUCAGAACCAAAACAGUGAAUCCAAGCCUGCAGCUAAUAGUAGUAAGCCCUAAGUUCGUAGCUAGUAAGCCCUAAGUGUUGAGUAAGUCCUGUGUCCGUAAGACUCUUCGGUCGGGUAAGCCCUAGUUCUGGACUAAAUCCUUACUAAGAACAGUAUAAUUUGCUAUGUCUGUAUGAUAGAAAGGAGCAACAGGCUAGGCAGAAGCACUAACUAAGUUGAGUUCAAAGAGAUGGAAUGGAGUAUUUCUGGGCUUGAGUUAGAUGAGAAAACCAAUUGAGUUAGAUGAGCCAGAAGAUAGUUCUCGUUGUCAGAGGUAAGAGGUCAUAGGUGUAUAGGUAUGGGAGAGUAUCUAGUAUAACCCAUGUGUCUAGUUUAGGGGUAGGUUCGGGAAGCAGUUAUGGAGGUAGGGUCGGAAUACAGAUGCUGAAUUCACAGUUCUGGUUUCAUCAUAUCUUAGAGAAUAGCCUGAUGAAUAAAAUAGGAAGAAAUCAAAAAAAAGAAGAAAAGUCGACAUCUUUAUCAUAUACAUACUCAGUAGGGAAAUAGUAGGGAAAUAGUAGAUAAUUCUAUCUCUUCUUAUUAAAGAAACCAGUGGAAUCUCAAGUAGUGGUCCAGUGCUAACAAGCCUGAUGCGGUGUCUACUGAGAAUGCACCUAAGGAGUUACAGACUGAAGCUAUUGGUAAUGAUUCUCCGCAUCUAUAGUAUAAGUAGUCAAGGAAGAUUGGGAACCCCAAUACAAAAGGAACUAAUGCCGCAGAUAGGAAAGACAUAGACUGGAAGCCCACUUACCACUCGUACACUUCAAUUCAAUGACUUACCUCGUACACUUCAAUUCAAUGACUUACUUCACCUACCUUUCCACAUUCUAACUACCUGAUACUUUACUUACGAACAUUUAGACCUCUUGUCCGAGCAAGACUCAGUCCUAAGUCUAUGCAAGACUCCGUUUAGGUAUAGGGAGUUCCACUAGUUCUAUUUGAAUAGCCCAUUGAUACGCUAAAGAUGGUUGGCAUAUUAAGCUAUCUUUCUUACCAGAGUAUAAGACCGCUCCCUUCUUAUCGGCUCCUGAUGUAGCAUUCAUUCGGACCAUUCCACGUUUGAUUCUUUCUCUCAGGGAUACCUAUGGCUCUUCCACCUAUGUCAACUAUGAACUUCAUGAGGCUCAUCUCACUCAAGAUAUCCCUCUGCUAUGGCAACUCAUUCUUUCAUUCUACCUUCCGAGUUUGUCUCUCACUUUCCUACUUGUGAGAUCAAUUCCUUAUUUAUACUUGGAUUAUCACACCUGUAAGUUGGAUUCUAUUUAUCCCAUCAGUAAGACCAUACCUGUAAGUGAGAUUCUAUCGCAGUGGCGGACAAGGUUCCUAACUAUAACCGGUUUCGGAGGAGUAUUUUACUAAUACUCGCGCAUAGGAUCUGUACAUCGACGUUCCACCAUUGGAGUAGUGCUUGAUUCUUUUCUUGCCGGUAUUGUUUCAAUUCCUGUUAGCAGAGGAAACAUUCCCUAUUAUGUAAGAUAAAGUACGAGAAGCACCAGUUGUAUCCUUGUUGUCAGUGGGGUAAUCCCCUUGAAGUCUCUCUUUUCACCCCAGAAUGCAUUUGGAACUAUUCUAUUAAUAGAUGCGCUAGCCUCGUACUCAUAAGCAGUAAAGCAAGGGCAGCGUAGGUGAUAGUUUCUUUCUUCCAGUUUUGUUCCAUUCUUCUCCUACAGGGCUUAGGUCUGCUACUUAUCCCACUUAUGGUAUUUGAUCUAUCAGCCUAGGUUCAAUUCCCUGUUGAUAGUUCAUCAAUUGUUAGAUGUACUAGCAAUUAUGUAUUAUGGCCUAUGUUUUGUAUCCGGACUUAUAAGUUGAUUCCCAUGUCAAGUAUUGAUUCCCAUUUGCUAGUCCAAGCAUUAAAAGCAUCAGUAUCAGUUUGAUAAAACAGUAAAGUAGCCUGAGAGCUAGUCAAUUAAGUAAUGGAGGUAAGUAGCUAAAGGGCCCAGACUUAAGAGAAGGGAAGGGGAGAGAGAAUUAGAUGCAAGUUGGUGGUAGGCUAAACAUCAUAGGAGUUAAGCGCCCAGGGAGGUAGAGUUACGGAGGCGAACUACAGAACAAAAGUGAUCAAUUGAAGAAUAAGAGAAAGGGCUAGCAGGCUAGGAAGCUCCUAAGUAAGGUUUUCCAGGUCGGUAGCUCCAGAAAGAAAGUAAGUAGUGGGUCCUGUGUUCGAGGGCGAGCUAAAGGAUAGUAGGGGAGCUACAUAAAGUCAGAGUCUAAUCCUUGGAGGGGAAAUCCGGAAUGCAAUGAGCAAUACCUGAGAAUGAAAACAGGCAAAGGAAGCCUAAAAGCAAAGAGCGGUAGGCUUAUAGCGGAAGGGGUCUUAGAAUUCAAGCAGUAAGCGCUAGACUUAACCCAAAGGGGGGUUCCGUUGGUGCCCCGUAUAGGUGGAGCGCAAGAGGUGCACUAAAACCUGAGAAACAGUAAAGAAGGACUAAAAGCCAGUAAAGCAAGGAUCUGUGUCGGGUGAGAAAGCAGUUCUCAAGUAAUCCCUUGUUUCAUCCCUCUUUGCGCCGAGAUCAGAUGCCGGGGGUGCAGAAUCGAUGAACCAACCUAAGUGCUCAAAGAAUUAAGAGCUAGUGAGGAAGCGGGAAGGGCCAAGCUACGGUACCAGUAUUUCAUUGAAUACCUUAACUCUAAAGUGACUUAUUGUCUCCCUUACUUGUUCAAUAAAAUGAUGUUGAUUCUGUUACUAAGCGAGUUGCUUGUCCGAUGCAAAGCUCUUUCUGGACAAUAUUCUUUAUCUGGUGUGCACAAGAGAAAUACGGAAUUUCCUCUCGCUGUAGCUUUUCCGGAUUCUUAUCUUGCAGACAAUACUCAAACUAAAGAUUCUCUUAACGCAACACUCGAACAUCAUGUCAUUGAAGAUUACCUACCCUUUUUUCUAUACGAAACACCCCUAAACACAUUGCUGACUGCUGGCUCACUACUUGAAGCUCACGUUGGUCGCACACCAAACGAAACAGGCGUUAACACUUAGAUAUAGAGUCAAAUCUCAAGUCUGGUAUCAAGAGACUGGUCUAAUGUACACUGUGCUUCAGAAGGAACAGAAUCAGAAUAAUACGCAGCAUCAGCAGCAUCAGCAGUUGCUCAUAAAAUUCUGCAAUUGGAUUCUGUCCUGUCGACUUGAAUUGUACUUUGGCCAACUCCUUUCCUUUCUUUGGAAUCGGAUCUCGGGCCUAGCAUGACUUAACGCUGAAGCUUGAAACUCGUUAACGGUAGCUUUAAGAGCAAGUAUAGUUUCGGGAGCUGCUGAUUCAUCUCGUAAUUCUUCUAUCGUGGACAAGAUAGGUCAAGUAAAUCACUCCACUGAACUUGAAGAACCACUUGCUGCUGACUAUUGAACUCAACUCUCUGAAUCGACAACACCGAGUUCCACUGGGCUGGGGAUGAACUUAGCGCAUCAAAGCCUCGCACCAAACCUAUCUUUUAGUAUUGUCUUAUUUUAGUCAAACAAAUAAGUAGCAUUCAUAAAUAUACUCAAUUGCCUUAGCUAUGAAAUUAGUAACAUUGCUACAUUGCCUAGGAGUUGCUAAGUAUAUAAAAACCAUUAGCUUCAUUUUUUGCACAGUGAAACUAGUAACAGCAGCAAUUGGAUUAGUAACAAUUAGUAACAAGUUUCCUCGGUGCCAGGUCCACUCUUUCUUCUCAGGUGCCAUGGAAUUCUUUGUUGAAAGUGGAGCUCUUGUUCUAGGAUCAUCAGCAGACAAGCUAACCUUAGCAACUCCCUGAAUUAAGUAGGAGCACUAGGUAACAAGCAGACAAGUGGACUUAGCCCUGUCUUAUAGGCUUCCAAUUCAUUAUUUCGCAUCUAUUUAUAUUUCCAAAAGAAAAGAAACUAGAUUGAACUGCCCCUACCUCGACUCUGGCUUGCACUGAUACGUAACUGCUCUGGCAAGUAAGACCCGGGUUUUGGUAAAAAGUCUCUUUGUGUUCUUGUGGAAUACCGAGUGAAACUAGCUCUAAGUAGGCCAGGGAAGAAAGAGACAAUAGAAGCUAUAAGUACUAAGAUGUGGUUCCUGCCGCUACACCGAAGAACUAUUCACUGACGCUAGAGAUUAGGACUCCCAAGAUAAGGACUUGUAGCAAGGUAUACUUAGCCAGUACUACCAGGGCUACCGGGAUGAUCUCGUCGACCUAUACUAGAUGAAUUCUUUGACUACAGGGCUCCAUUCUUACAUUGGGGAAUCGGUGGGAAUGUAGCUAUUGGUUAAGGCUUCUACGGACUAGUUCAAUUCCUUUACUCACUAGUUCCAUACUACUUGUUAGUGGUUGCAUUCUUACAUGAUCUAUAAAGGGGUAAGGCCGUUACUCCCUAGCUUCACUCUUCAACUUAGCAGCUCCACCCUUUGAUCACCCGGUUUCGUUCUUGGACUCGGGUCGGAUAGAAAUGAUAAUAAGGCAUUCCCUAAUUGCAUUCCUAGCAACACCGGUAUCAGGCUUGCUCACCUCGCUUUCAGGCUUGGAUUCACUAUUUCCAUUCUGAGUCUUACUGGUAGGAUUCUUAGUACCUAGCGAAGCGUCCCAUACUCGCUACCCUUGCUUUCGUUCUAUCACUACCUCGUUUCAGUCUGAUUGGAGUGAGUUUGAUUCACCAAGCAACUACUAGACGCCAAGCAACUACGGAAGUAGUUGUGCGGCAGUAACAACAAUAGGGCCAAGCAACUACUAAUGUUGCGCGGCAGGGCCGCUAGAGUUCCCCAGUUAUUACUAGUUAUGUGUUCGACCAAGCAACUACUAAUGACCAAGCAACGGGACAAACAACUGCUAAUGUUGUGCGUCAGCAAUAGUCAGAAGUCAUAACGAAGUUAUUACAGUAUCUGUGCUCGGACGUUGUGCGGUAGGAGCCUGAGCUAAACGGUAGCGAGUUAAAAGAGCGUCAGCGAGCUGAAAAGCGGUAGGAGCUGAUUGUUAGGCUUACUACCCUGACUUGAAGUCUGCCUAGCUCGGGUUGAAGUCUUAUCUACUACCCUACCCUGGAUGCACUGGUUUUAAGGCUUCCACUUCAUGGUUUGAUUCUGUAACUCCUACUAGCCUGCCUCUAUGGAAUCCGUUCACAUAUAUAAAGAGAAUCUAUCAGAUUAGAGGGCCAAGGGCCAAGCAACGGCGCAAGCCGCUGCGCGGCAGCAACAAUAAUAGAUAUUACAAGUUAUAAACAAGUCCUGUGUUCGCGUUCCGCGGCAGGAGCUCUCUAAGGAUAUGGAAAACUUCUAAGCUUAACACAAGCAAACAGACUAUAAGGGCCUCAACUAUGGCUCUCAUCUAAUCGCUCCUCUCUUGCAGCUAUUAACUUCAUUCUUAAAAACAUAGCAAGUGGGCAAGCAUCGGCAUACAAUCAGUUCACUAGGCAAGCUUUUACUAGAUGCGGGCCAACUGAUUGGGAACUAUAUUCUUUCUGUGCCUACGAUGUUACAUUCUUAAUAUUAUACUAACCGGUCUUAAACUCACACUCGAACAGGACUACCAGUCUUCAACUCUCACUCGAGCAGCGGAUUCUUUAGCCUCUUAUUCUUACCUUCACCCAGAGGACUCUCCACUUACUUCAAAACUCACUACUAACUCUCCCUUUGCUUCAAAGCCUUUUCACAGGACUUGGUCACCAAAUACUUCUUUCAACAAGCUGCUGUCUCUGCUCUACCUAACUAAACAAGCGUAUACUACUACUCUGGUAUUUCACUAACCAAGCUACUACUCCAAAUUCUCUGUUCUUAUUAAGGAUAACUGAUUCACCGACCUCGACUUAAUGCUCUUUUCCCUCUGUUAGUGCUAGAGUUACAGGCAAUUCCAGUCGACCAGAAAGAGAGGUAGGCUGGUGCAGUACAGAGAGGUGGGUUGGUGCAGAGAGAAUACGGAGGUUGGUGCUUCCUCAGCUAAUGCUAUUCGAUCGGACUCAGUAACGGCAUCCUACAUUAGCCGACAACAAAGGUAAAGCCAAUCAAUCACCUAAAACCUACUAGAUACUUAACAAGAAAUGGAACAGACCUGAUUGCUGCUAAUACUGAUUCUAUUACUCUACUACUAGUUGGGGCAAUAACUAGACUCACAGCUUCCCCUUUCCGACCCAACCUUCAAUAGACCCGAGCUCUGGCAACGAGUACAAAUUCUUAUCCGAUACCUCUGGCACCCGACCCGACCUCCAUACUUCCUCUUUUGUAUUCCUCUCCUCUUCUCUUUGAACUCUGUCUCCUUAACUCCCUAGUCAUUCACUCUGUAGUCAAAUCAUUCCACUAGCUACUCUCAACUACACUGGAAACUUUACCUCGCUCCCGAACACAGGACUUGGUUAUAACUAAUCAUAAACUACAGGCUCCUCUCUGGCUCUGUCAACGCCUUCUACUUACUAGUUGGAUUCUGAACUGAGCUUCUUUCACUGUCAACUACCCACAAAGUCAGUAACCCAGCCUAGCCUAGUCACUUCAUUCCACAACUACCCGCCAAGCCUACAACUACAGGUGGAUAGGUAAGUUUCCAAGAGGUUAAUAAGAAUAAGUCGAACAAGUAAGGCUUGUAGAGCGGAGGGGUUUUCUAGUUUGUAGUGGCAUACUACUAUAAUAGAAUAUAGGAUCUAGAUGCCGAGUUCAAUCUAGUGGGUAUGGUGGUUGUAGUCUGUUUGCUAGUAGCUCCAUCCUUGUCAGCGGUUACUCUAUUCCAGUGUCUCUUGGUUCAGUCUAAUCGGAUACUCGGGAAUUCUUGUUAGUUCCUCUGGCCUAAGAGACCUAGUUGUUUGCUUGAUUCCGAUAGUAGUAUAGUAGCUUGCCGGUGUUUGUGGAAGCACUUGCUCAAUUCCCAGUUCCCAUUCCGAUGUAUCUUACUUAAUCAGUUUGAUUCCGGUAGUAUAGUAAGUGAAAGCAUUAGAGGCAUCAGCUCAGCUCUAUUCUAUUUUUGAGUAAGGCGUAUAAGGAGUCAGGCUUGGUUUACUCUUUCCGGUAGCUCAAUUACAUCGACCCUUGGUAUCGGUGAUUCAAUUCAUUACUAUAAGAUAAAGCACGAGAAGGCAGUGCAGCCAGUAGCGAAAGAAUCAAAGUAUAAGGCAAGGUUUGGCCAAGUAGCUACUGGGCAGAACGAAAGUAAGCCUUAGAGGCAUUAGCGGAAGCAGUAGCGAAAGCCUUAGAAACAGCAUUGAAAGCUGGACUUCUUAGUUCAAUCUAUCAGGUGGUGUUGCACUCGGAUAGCUGUGGUUCAAAUCUUUGUUUCUAUUAUAUUGAUUAUUGAUUAUUGGUGUGAGUUAGCAGUUUUCAGACAAAAAAGAAAGAGUUUCAGAACGAAGCUAACGACCAAAGCUCAAAUAAGGAAUUGAGGUCAGGGGCCUAAGAGCGAGAGUAAUUACUUGCCUGAGCUUGAGUGUCUUGGUCUUUACAGUUAGCUAAAGAAUCCAAGUAAGUAGUAACAAAACGAGAGAAAGGAUCAACACAAUGCUGCUAAUGAGCAGGGCUAUAAGACAGUCGCGUGUGGGUUUGAGCCAAGAAGAUAGAGAAUCAAAGUAUCGAUUUAAAGAAGUCAAGGUAGUCUCAUAGGAAGUAGGGAGGUCGGGUGUUGCCCAAAGUAAGGGUUGUUGACUUACUUGUUGUGGUGGUGAACUUCUCACUACGGGCAUUUGUAGCAGUUGCUUUGUUAGUCGUUACUUGGCUCAUAGCAAAUAGUAGAGGACCGGAUUGACUUGCCUAUUUGCCCACUUGUCUAUCCGUGGCUUGGUCAUUAGUAGUUGCUUGUUGAAUCAACCUAGUUGUCGACUUUCCUAGGAACACUAGCGGCAGGAGCUUCAACUGUGUUCGGCUUCCAAGCCCUACUACUUAGCUUCGAACUGACAUUAAGGCAUUGUAGUCUGACUUGCCGGAUACGGGAGACUAUUCAUUUAGUCGGAUUAUUCCUGGCCCGCCAUCUACUUAAUCGAAUCUUGACUACCCGCUGACUUCCCCAUUGCUUGCUUUCAGUCUAUUACUCCCAACUACUAGUCCCACUCUACUUUAUCCUAGGCUCGCUCUACAACCUAUUAGUAUGUCCCUACUUGCUUUAAGGCUUUCAGCUCCUUGCUUUUAUUCCCUAGAUAUGGAUUCGGAUCCUGACUUUCUUUAUGGUUUCAUUACUUAGAAGUGGAAUUCCCUAAGUGCAUAUUUAGCAUGGGAGGAACCAUUGCAGUGGAAGAAGCGAUGUAACAUCCCGAAACGCCCAAAAAAGAAAUUCGUUAGUUACGAUUUCACUCCUAUACUUAUGGGGUGAAUUCUAUUCGGAUCGGGUGAUAUUCUAAUCCAGAUCCCAAAACACUAACACAGUUAAUAGCAUGCCAGGCGUGCAUCCUGACUUUGCAGUACAAUUCUGCUACGCUGGGGGAAUGUUCUGAUGCUGUGAAAGGGAUUUAUGUCUUUUAACCCCGCUCUUCAUUCUAUGACAAGUAAGUGCAAUUCCUCUCCUGGCCCGUGUGGGUUCCCCUUCUUUUACCACUGUGUUUCAUUAUGUCCUGCCGCCGCAAGGGUCCCUAACGAGAGACACCCUUUAUUAGUUAUAGAACUCAACUAAGAAGUAGAAGACUCAACCAAUAAGCCAAGAAUGAAAGUAAGGGGGAAGGUUCCCCCGCAAAGAGAGACAAACAAACUCGAGCAUAGGCCUUGAAGGAACAAGUACAAUAAACAAAUAACUAGAUACAGGAUGAAACUAAGGUAGCAGAGGCACGGAAGCGGGAGUCAAAGCCAAUAGUGGUCGUUAGAUUCCAAUGUAAGCGGGUAAGUUCCCGUUUAAAGAAAGUCUAUCUACGGUCAGUAGUUCAGUCGUUGAGGACCAAUCCGUUUGAUUCUUCUCAUUGGUUAGUGGAUUUCUAUCUUUCUAUGUGAGUAGUUGAUUCUAAUAGCACCAGUUCGAUUCUCCCAUGUUUCCACAAUAUUCAAACAUUCUUCCUUAACUAAUAAAGAUAUCUGUGAUAAAUGAACUAUCACAUAACUUACUUUGUUUUAUGGGAAAUAGAUCAUUUAAUACCAACAAGUAACUACUAGAAUAUAGUCAAGUCAGAAUGAAAGCGAGUAAGGACAGACUCACAGUGGAAGUAAAGCAUGCAAGUAUUACCAGUAGGUAGGAGCGUCGGGCUGGAAAGGAAAGCUUCUAAGGUUGAGCUACAGACUUUAGGGUGGUAGCGGCAUGUUAACAAUCGCCCAUAGGAGUUGAAAGCAGUAAGCGUAGGGAAGUAUACUGGAAUGGCAGCCCUAUAGUGGAGACAAAGAAGGAAAAGCGGUCUUGUUAGCAGCGGAGUAAGCCUGUAUUCAGUGUUCCAUCUUUACUUGUUUGUAGUAGAGCGUUGAUAUAGUAGUCAAAGCCUGAGUUCUUUGUUUCAUUGCUUCCAUUAGUAGCUCCGUUCUUGAUAGCAGUGGUUGGGUUCUCCAGCUCUGUUUUCAUUCUCAUCAGUAGCAGUUGGGUUAUAAGAAACACUAGUGAGAUUCUAAGAGUCAAGUAAAUGGUAGUAGCUAUAGUGUUGCUGGGCAGUGUCAUAGCUAGUGUAGUCACAUUCUUAUGAGUAGGUGUGCUGGACCAUACCUGUAUUCUUUAACUAGCCACUUCGAUUCUGACUAUGCAUGCUUUCAUUCUCCGUGUUGCUCCUUACCUUCUUGUUUAUGUGUUUUAGUAUGCCCUUCCUUGGAGGUAUUCCUCAUUGCUCGUAUCAGGCUUAUAUACCAGUAAGUCCAAUUCUCCCGCUUCUUGCUUUUAAACUGAAGCUACUGUCUUUUAUUCUUUGGUUGCUGGGCCGGAUCCUGUGUUCCUACUAUUUGUAUGUUGAUACGACACCCCUACUCUUAUUCCUUUAAUAAGGAUCUAGCCUCGUACUUUUCCUUUGCAUACCUCUACUCUACACUUACCUUCCCGGCCGCAGCCUGCCCUGUUAUUCCUAUAUGAAGUAGAAGAGUUGACUUACCUCUCGACAACCUCUCAAAAAUAGGUAAGUCAGAAUAAAACGACUAGCUAUCAGAUUGAAACAAACUACUACGCUACUCAUACAGCCUAGUAGCCUGUCCUCCCUUGUCUUAAGGCUUAAUUGCCCAACUAGAAACCUGUAUCCACACUUACCUAAGUCUAGCUCGCCCCUCCAUGAGCAUGUCCUUACUGUAUACUGGCAUGCCCUGACUUACUUGCAUUCUCGAGCUACUGAUAACAAGAGUAGAACACCUAAUGCUUUCUCUUAAUAUGGAGAAUUGGACUAGCGCUAACAAGCCUACCCUGCUUGAAAACUGGAGUUAGUGCCUUCAUUCCAACUACUCCGCGCUUACUUCUAUCCUUUAACUACGGAUUCCAAGGCUGCCCUACUGACCAACAAGUCUAACUAGAUCCCCCAAGGGGCUGGACUUGCUUUCCGACCUCUAAGCCUGCUCUACCUAAACUCCUAUUAUUACUGCCAGACAGCCACAUCUGUAUUUGCAAUAGACGAAGCCUUUCUCCACAGGGCACUAAGUGACUACAAACUCCCCAGCAAACUCCCCAGCUACCUAUUGUCAACUAUUCGCUCGUAUAGCUUAUAGAAGGACUAAACUAGAUGCGAUUACUUUUCAUGAGAUUGGGAAUAAGCUUUACUGAGAGAUUGCUCUGGCCUGAUAGAUUGAUGGAAAGAAAACGAAAACUUCCUGCCUUACUUAAGCCCCGAGAAAGAUAGAGUGCUUCCUGCAGGCUCAUUUGAAAUAUCCCUUCCCGCGGACUUAUUAUAGGGGCCUUAACCUAAAGAUGCAAUUAGAACAGAAACUGGAAUGGAUUGAACUGCUGCUAGAUACCUUAUGAAUGAAUGCAUAAGCUGGCUAAGGAGAAGAAGAAAUACCAUUAGCUGGAAUAAACAGCAAUUCCAGUUUGAUUGUCGACUCGAGAAUCAAUAAUAUACAAAUCAAGAUCUUAAGCAGCAACAGAAAAGGAUUAGAGUAAGGGUCAGACUCCAGAUCUGGAUCAGAUGUAGUUCAAAAGUAAGCAUAAGAAUGGACUGUUAUAGUUUCAUCGACUCCAGAAUCAGCAAUGUUUGUAUUGGCGCAAGGAAGGUCAGCAAGCGGGGAAGAAAGGGAAGAAGUAGUUUCAUCUGAUAGUUCGUAUAGGAGUGAAAGCCUAGGUUCUGAUUCGUAUUGAUUAAAGGAGAUCCGGAUCUGAGUGACCAGUGAAAGUAUUAGGAGCGCCAGCCCAAUUAGAAUAUAUAGUAGCUUCAGUCUUGUUGAUGACAAUAUCCGCCUUGUUAGUCACAGUUCCAUUCCCCGGUUCGAUUCUUUUGAUUGUGACUUUGAUUUUGGUAGUUCUCCCUUACAUUCCUUAACCGCAGGCACUCUACUGGAUUAGAUCAAUAAGUACAUAUCAGACUUCUACCAACAAGUCAAACUCUCUCUAUCCUAUUGCAAACCCUAGUUAUAUUUCUAUUGGGCACCGACGCCUAUGUCUUUUAAGUUGAAGUAGGAAAUCCGCCUAUAUACGCCUAUUUCUUUCAAGGAGUCAAUAAAGAAUAGAAUGUCAUGUCAGUAGUAAAGGAAUAGAACACUGCCCAGCAACGCUAUAACUACUAUUAAGAGAAAGAAAGAAACUAAUUAACCUGUUGCUCAGUCUGCCCUGGCUUACUUUCAAUAUAUAAUGACUUGAACCAUAAGUCUGGCUUUACCUAAGCUGUUUACUUAAUUAGGUACCGAGAAGGAGUACUGAUCUCCUCCACCAAGGUGUUAGUUUGAUUAGUCUAAUAGUCAAUCCGAGUUCCCAUUCCAGUUCUCAUUCCGAUGUAUCUUACUUCUAUUCUGAUUAUUAUGAGAACUUAUGUAGUCAACCAAUACAGAGGCAAGUCGAACAGGAACGAGCAGAGGAUCUAUAAAUGGAGAAUUCGAAUAAGUUAUGUGCUUGAGUAACAGGAUUCAACUCUAAACCCGCUCCCCUAGCAGUUUCAUCUAUAAGGUAGUGUUGGAUUGCCUGCUUGUAGUUUCAUUACCUGGUUUCGAGCUAUAGCCCUCUCUCUUUGAUUCUUGAUUGGCUUGAUCUUAGUUGUCUACGAGAAUGUUCUUAUGAAGCAGAAGCAGGAUAAUCUUAAGGAACUGAGAAAGUAUCGGUACAGGUAAAGGCUUUUACUUAAUCUUUCUUUUUGCUUCGUAAGACCUAUGUUCGUGUUUAAAUUCACUAACGCUACUUCUUAUGGGAAGCUUUACUCUACCCACUUCCAACUUGAUUCCUUCUUAUUGCCCAGUGCGCUACGGAACCAUAAAGAUGUUAGGCUCAAAUUAGUAUAUACUUGCUUGUUGGGUAAGAUAUCUUUGUUGGCGAUGGUGCUUCCGCUUCUUUUAUUUGCUUUCCAGGUGCUGAUGCUUCCUUUAUUGGCUUUCCAAUAGUAGGCCGAUUCAUAAAUUGUUCCAGGCUCUUAGCACCUUGCUUCUUUACUUUAAUCACACAGUCUUGCUUCUUUCUUUACCAGCUUUGCCAUAACAUUACUAUUAAUCUCAAGAUACAGAAGGAGAUGGAUCAUAAAUAGGGCCUGGGAAAAGGAGAUGGAGAUAGAAAUGGAGAUGUAUCCGGAAUAGGAGGAGAUACAGAAGAUACUGGAUCAGGAGACGGAGCAAGAGAAGACUAAUGGAAUGGAAAACAUAUACCCUAGAAUAUAUAAUUGAAAACAACAACAAUAAGAGAAUAGAAAACAAACAUAUAAGUGAGUUCACCCGGAACCAUAUCUUAUACGGGAGCUAGUUGUUUGCUAGAUAAGUUAGAAAGUAAGGUUAAGGCGGUAAAGAAGAAAGGGAAGCAGUGAAGUUUCCAGUUGCCAUAGAUAGAGGAUAUCAGAGUUUAGGUAAGUCCAGUAGUAUAGGAUCUUGAAUAGGAUCAGUGCCAGGAAAGUAGACAUCGACAAGAAGAAGAAUCAUCAACUAGAUCUGUAUCUAAAGCAACUGAAUCAGCAGGAUCUGGAUCAUCCGUUUCAGUUCCAUUCACAGUUUUCCUCGGCCCAAGAUAUGGUUUACUCCGGCGCAAAGAAAGAUUGAGUUAACGAUCGGGCAAGACGAUCUUCGUAGACUAGAAUCUCCUGGUUGACUCGACGCUACAAGUCCAGUUGCGGCGGUACUGAAAUCCAAGUGGAGUGCGAAAGUUUCGUUCAGAAGUUUUGCUUGAUAGGAGAGUUAUCAGAGAAAAAAGAUCUUGCUUAUUCGGUAUGGUCAAAGUCGUAAACAGAUUGUUCCGCUCUAGUUUCUUGUCUACGAGUUAAAGAAAGGAUUAUCAGCUGCAAACGGAAAUUCAAGUCAUGUUCCUACGGGAUUAGAUGUAGGAGAAGAAGCUUUCGGGUAAAGGUCAUACUAUCAUAUUACUGGCUUAGAAGCAGAAGCCGAAGAUAAUGACGCUCUUUAACGUGGGUAGCGGUCUCUUUUUGCUUAUAUGAAGUUUCAUCUCUUUCAGUUGCUUGUGUUGUCUAUGAUGGAAGCCAAGAAUCCCCUGUGCCAAAGUCAGUUGUAAGACGUUCUUUCACUGGAGUUCUGUCAACGAGAGAAGAUAUGCAGGGUAAAGAAGAGCGGAAUAAGAAUCCAAGUCGUCAGCAGAAUCAAGAUCAGAAACAGAACCAAGAUCGGAAGAAGUAAGCGUUAGUGAGCCCAGCCCGGGUAUAGAAUCAUUGGGUAACCAGGGGCAGAGAGAUAUGCAAAAAUGACAGUUCCAGUGAGAGUUUCAGAAUCGAAUAUAGAUUUGGUAGUUACUUGCCUAGUGUCUUGUAUGCUUGCCCGGGUCUCUGUUCUGGUUGAAUCCCCAGUUGCAUCUGUAUUUGUAGCCUGAGGUAGAUGAGCAAUAGGGUCAAGAUGUUAGGAAGAAAUGACUUAUAAGGCAAGUUUCUUAGUUUCGGUAUAGUAGAGUAAAGCCCUUUUUCACAAUGAUUAAUUUCUUUGCCUUUUUGUCACUGAUUCAUUUCUUUAAUAAGGGAGUGGAAGAGUUAGGUAACCCAGAAACAAAUGACAUUCAGGACAGAGCAAUAAAUCCAAUAAGUUGUUGAGUGAAGUUCUGCUCCUACUCUGUUAGCGCUUUUGUAACUCGCAGGAAAAGAAACUCCCUUUCUGUUACUUGUUUAUUGCUUGUUCCUAAGCUUGUUUGAUUUCUCUUUUGCUACAGGAAUGGUUAGGGCAGGGGCACACACAUCGUCUGCCUAAACUGGUUGGUGCAUUUUGGAACUGACUAAAGAAUUAGGGCCGGAUCUGAAUUACGCUUGUCUGCUAAAGUAAGUUGACUUGGCGAGCUCAAUCGGGAUCCACGAGAAGAGGUUAUUCCCUAAAUUGAAUCACUACGGAAACCCGGUAAGCUGUGUUCUUACUCGGUUCUAUUCUUGUGAAACAUCUUCCAUUUGUGAAGUAAGGGAGGGCGCCAGCCAGAGGCAAUAUAUAAGGCAAGGGAACAGCGCAAAGAAUAAUAGCUUGUUUCGACACCUCGCAUCAAAACCGGGAAGAUAAUCUUUCUACCAUACCGCUUCUUUCUACUGUUUCCUCACCUUAUCCAGCUUCGGCUUCUGAAACAAUACUUUCUUCUUACUGCUGAUGCUGAUCUAGCUUCUGCUUACUUGAGAACGGAGCUUGGCUUGAUGGUUCCCUUGCCGAAACUUCUUAGAGAGGCCUAUGGCUCUGUACUCUGGACUACUAUACUGGUUUUGGAUUACCUUUGUUGGCUACGAGAGAGUAGGGUUCAGUCGAAUAUAGAAGAUAGAAUUCAGUAGGGGACAAGUCCGUACUUUAGUCUCGGAGUCGAGGAGUCAGAAAUCAGAAUUAGUGCAAUACCUGAGCUGAGUAGUAUACUAAGCUUGCCCGUUAGCAGUGACUUGCCUCGUUGCUUGGCCCCGCUUACUAUUAUUAUUGAACCAAGGAGCUGACAAUCCAACCUCAGAUUCUCGAAUUGACUUUCCUCGCUCACUACUAGCAGGAUCGGAAGAGUGGUAAUAGGUUUCUCAUUCUUAUAUAGGAUCUAGGCCUUGUAGCGAAGUAUAAAGAUUCUUUCUUGCCUAUGUAGCUGAGUAUACAUAUUCUUUCUUGCCUUACAGAGUUGCCUUAGAAGCAUAUUAGUAGAAAUUAGUCACAGCUAAGGUUUACAGUAAAGUAAGGAGUGAGUUCAAAAGGAGACUAUACACGUCAAGGAAAGUUCACCAAAACCCGUGUUUCCUCAUAACGGGAGCCAAAAACAGGAAUGGUAAUGAAAAGAGUGGAGCGGCCCCAAAAACAUCUAUUGUAAUAACUCGUAAUAUCUAUUAUUGUUGCUACCUGAACACAAGACUUGUUUAUAACUUCCUAUAAUACUUAUUGACUGCCGCAACACAUUAGUAGUGUCUUGGCCGUCUCGCUUUUUCAUUCGCUACUACGUAGCUCAUCCCGUUGCUUGGUCGUUAGUAGUUGCUUGGCCUAUUACUGUUGCUACCGCCGAGAGCAUCUAUUGUAAUAACUUCGUUAUGACUGUCAUUUGCUGCCGCGUAACAUUAGUAGUUACUUGGCGCGCCGUUGCUUGGUCCGCGACACAUGAGUNNNNNNNNNNNNNNNNNNNNAGUGUCUUGGCUUAGUUUAUUAUUAAAGUGGUGUUUUAGGCCAUGGCGGUCUAACUACUAAGCUUGGACCCUAGCACAAGUAAAACAAAUCCAAAGAAUAUCUCUCUUGUGCAUAUAUACCAUACAUAGGAAUGUCAUCAAGCAGUUCACUGACCGCGCAACUCAUAACUAAACUCAAACUCACAAACACCGAUGAAGACAGGAGCCAGCCCAGAGGGUAAUAUUUGACACCUACGAAAUCUAUACAAUGCUUGCUGCUGCGCCAACACGAUCUCUUUGGAAUCCGACCGGCUUGGCACUGCUUUUGAUCCUGAACAAACAAGUAAUGUAAUCCAUUUCUGGCUUUUCGCCCCGAGAAACUUUCCCAGCACUGUUAAGAUCUGAUUGCUUGUUAUGAUGCUUAUCCAUCGAUCUUAUUGCUUGCUUGUUAUGAUGCUUAUCUUAUCGAUCUUAUUGCUUGCUUGUUAUGAUGCUUAUCUAUUUGCUUGUUAUGAUGCUUAUCUAUCUGAGGAAUGCCCCUUAACCUACACCUAGAAAUGAAACGUGGAUUUAAGAUCCUGCUCCUACUGCGGAUCCAUAUCCAGAUUCUAGAAGAGCCCCCCCCCACUCUUGAAACUUUCCUUAUAGGGGAUCCCCUUUGAUUAUUAAUCUGACUGUCUUGGCUACCCCUUUGUAUUGAUUGCCAAGGUGCUGAAAGCCUUUCUUAUUUCUCUUGUUUUGAGAGAACUGGCAAAAUCUAGGCAAAGCCCUUUGGUUCGGUAGGGCCGGUACUAAACCUACGGAUUCCGGGCUAGGAAAUUCUUUGAUUAUCUCGAUUGGCUCGACCAUAGCAGCCGAUCGGGACUGACCUCUCGACCCUUGCUUGGAUGUAGUGCGGGGCCCGUAUUUGUAUAGGUAACCAUAGUUCGCUUAUCCGCAUGGAUUGCUUUUUCAUAGAAGUAUGGAAAGGCUUGGAAUGGAGCUAACAAAUGUGCAAUGAAUGGUUGACUUAACCACAGGAAAGUAGGCGCAAACCAAAUGAGAGAUAUCCAUUAUGUCCAUAUUUGAUCGUAUGGUCCUAGAUAAAAGGACUAGCUUAGCGCAGUUGCUGGUUUCAUUUCAUUUUCUGAUUCUGGAGCACCUGGAGUAAUUGUUCGAUCUCUCUCUCUUUUGCUAGGUUUAUCCGAAAGAGAUCUGCUUUCUAGUCGCCUAAGGUAGACUCUACCCCUAUCUUUGCUAAAGUGAUGCUAGGCUAUACGCGUCCUCUGCUAUUCAUGAAAUCAAUAUAUGGUGAAAUCAAUAUAUGGGUGGAGCUUUUUCUUAGUCUAUGUCGGAACCCAUUUCUAUCAUAUGCGCAAGAUGGAUUCAAUUCCGUAUUUGUUGACACAGGUUUUCAUCGAGAUGGAGAGAGACCUGACCUCUCUGUAAAGGUAAGUCUGCUUUAUCCUUAGGUUCAGUGACCUGCCUUUCUUCUUUUAAUUAUCCCUGACUUUAUGGUUUUUCGGGUACCGCGGUCUCCUUAGUGCAUAUCCUUUUGUGAAUAGUCCUAAAGUGUUAUGGAACUUAUUAUUAGGGCUUUCUUAGAGCCAUCAAAGAGAAAGGUAGUAGUCCGAAGACCCCUUUAUGAAGAAGCUGGAAUCAGAUUCCGAUGAAGAGCAAGAUUUGACAGAGAUUCCCCCCUUUCUGUGAAUGAAUCAUUCCCACGCCCUUCCCCACUUUCCUCAAUCGAUAGGUCAAAGACAGAGUCCCAGUUAGAUCAAGAAUCUUGGAGCAAUUCGGGGGUACUUUACUUAGGUCUUAUAAUGAUCUUGAUGUAGAUGGUAGAGGGCUGCACCCAUAAUGAGAUAGAAUACUUUUUCUUUGUGAAAUGUAGAAGAAGAAACCUAAGGAGACGAAAGCAAAAGGAACUAAGAAGAAACCUAAGGAGACGAAAGCAAAAGGAACUAAUUAAUACACGCCCGUAAAUUGAUCUUCGUCCUCUUACUUAUUGGGCUUUAAUACAAAAUAGACGUACCUCUGCAUGACAUGCCUUCGUCAAUUUCAAUUAAACACUUUUCAUGUCAUAGAGUUUUGGAUUAGUUUCUUCUGCUCGGUAUCAGAAUCCAAAGACAGGAAUGACUCCUCUUGGCAUUCCCCACAUUGCAUCGGCGCGAUCCUCUCCAACAGCGUAAGAGCGCCCCGGGACCCGUGUAACAAAGAUCUAUUUCUUUCUUUUCUCGAUUCGUAGCAUCUGAGAUGGGAAGUAGAAAGAGAGUGGAUCGCGGGGUGAGAGUAAGGAAUGCUUACCGAUUCGUAGAUUAGAAGCAUAGUCAUAGAGUGGCGAGAUGCUCUCCCUUAUUGAAAUCAGAGGAUAUUGAUUUAUAGACUGGUUCUUAUCCAAAAUAGAUAAUACCGUACCGUAGGAACUAGGCUUGUAUUCAUUGGCAUCGCGCUACGCCCCUUAAGGUGGCUUGAUGUUCACUGUCCUCACUUCCCUAUCCCGGGGGCAGUGCUUUGAUAUGCGUCUUCAUUAACCUACCUUCGGAGAACAAGCUAGACCCCCAAUUGUCAAUGAGACUACUCUAUAGGAUGGCAAUUAUGAAAGAGAUGCGCGGAUAAGAAAUUAGCGCCUCAUCCUCAUUCCACGUGCAGGUUAUUCUUUAUUCCAAUAUCUCGGUAAGAAGCCCGGUUGUUAGGAAGGUGAUUCUUUAUUCCAAUAUCUCGGUAAGAAGCCCAAGCAAGGCCUAAUCCCUCUUGUCCUCUUCCUGGGAGAACUUGAAUCAGGAAAGCUGGCGAAACGAAAACUACUGCUGGUGCUACGGGCUGGUAUAUUCGUUUGUAAGUUCGUAUCGGGUCUUGUCUCGAUCCGUUUAUUCCCUGGCUAUUUUGUAGGCACACAUAUCUGGUAUCCAUAUAGAGAGGGCCAUACAUAGGGCUCAUGCCCAUGUGCAAUGCCGCAAGAGUGAAGAGACGGCCGUAGCUCUACUGGUUAUUAUGGAGUUGGAAGGUUACAUGUUCCCACGAACGGAAAAAGGGCCCUGAUACUAACUGGUAUAGGCCGGUCUUUCAUAUGUUUAUAACAGCCAUCCAGACUAAAGCAUUCCCACUACGGUCGAAGAGAUGAUUCAGCAGGCAAACCAACCAGAGGACAAGAUCAAUAGUAGAAUAAGGUCCAUGCCCAGCUUCCUUCUUGUUUGCCCAGAAUCAGAGGAAUUUAUAGACGGAGCUACUGUUAAGAAGCAUUCACUCUUCAUUCGCCUAGGGGUGGACGAAGACCUUUCACUACUAUAAGUAAGAUGCCUCCCACUCGCACUCCCUAUUAUUGGAUGGAACUGAGACUGUCACUAGUUUACUAAAAGGAGUACCUUCCCCUGACCUUAGGCUAUCCUAAGACCGAUCUCUUAUAUAAGUCAUUCCAUCCCUAAGAUCACAGUGUCGGAAUCAAAGAUACUUUAUUCAAAUUCAAGGACACAUCUGGAGGGGAAAGACAGAAAGAAGGAAAGAGCCUCGCACUACUUCUCAGAGAUAGCGUUAACGGAUCUAUUUCAUUUCAUAGUGCUCCGCUUCGUUCGCAUGAAGAAAGCAAGGCAAGGUGCGUUGCAAAAAUGCCAUUAGGGAAAGACCGUAGAGUUCCACUUCCAAUGCAGAAUAGACCACUCCACUUUGGCCUCUUUUUACCUAGGAACAACUUAACAACAUGGACUAGCCUGCCAGAAGCCAUAAGCAAAUAGAAAGACAGGAAGAUACUCUCUAUUCUUAGAUAAGUUUCUUGGAUUGGCUUAGGAUCUGUGCUUCGUUCCCAUCUUCUAGAUAACAUAUGGGCAAGACUAAGUGCGUCAGUGGCUAAAGGGAGAGUUUCCAGUUUCAGAAUGGAGUUUUCCCCUGUUUGACUUGACUCACCGAUCGAAAGAACAGUCUCUUAUUGUUGUGCUAAGCCUAAAGGAGUUAGAAAUGAAUGAGUUGAAUAAGCAAGGACAAGCAAAAGAAGUACCUAUUAAUUCGAAUAUGGAACUUUGUAUAGAACAACUUUGUAACUGGCAGCAAGCAGGUCUGCAAAUGGGAAUUCUGUUCUUGUUUCAUCCGUGUUUGCAACUAGAGAUGAAGCUGUUCUAAAGUAAGCAUCAAGCGCAUCCGUCCUGGAGUAUCUUGAAGUUAUAGUGUUUGUCGUAUCCCUAUCAUUGGAGUUUACCCCCGAGUUAGAGAAUUGCCUUAUUACAAUUAUCACAUUAUAGCCUACUAACUAAAGAAAUGUCCGGUGCAGAGAAGUCAAAUAGAGAUUGAUUAUUACUGGUGUGCUACAUUUGUAAGUAAUCAUUGUUUGGAGUAAAUACCCGGCCCUACCCUAUUGCUAUAGUAAUUCGCUUAUAGAGAGAGUGGAUUUGCUUGUUGAAUGGAAUCCAGAUAAGAAAGAGCUUUGUAUAGAAAGAACUCUGUAACAGGCUUUCAGCUCCUUUCCUUCGUCCGGAAGGUAAACCAAUCUGACUCGGAAAGUAACCUAACACAGCUUGCGGGACGAACUCAGUACUAUAAGAGGUGUGUUAAAGCCUCAAACAAGGAAUCUGGUGGAUCAGAAUCAUAAUAAGGAUCCGCAGGAAGAAGUUUCAAGUCGAGUUCCUGGUAAUCCUGUUGUUUAUGCUCUAGCUCUAAGUCUUGGUCUUGUGUCGAGUGUUGAUGCUGCAGUAGCUCCAAGAUAUGAAGCAGUGCCGUAUCUAGGAAAGGACCCUCAAGAUUGUGUUCAAGGCAAUAUCCAAAGAAGGGAACAAGCAAACAGGCAACUACCACCGUUGCCCUAACAUAUUAAGCGCGGUGAAGGUAAGAAGAAAUUCCAAUUGAAGCCCCAUAAGUAGAGAAUGACCUUCUUUUACUGCUUUCCGCUCCUUUCCUUGUCGAGAGAGGUGAUUGGGGUGUCUCAAUUCAGGAAUUAUAGAGCAUAACAGAACUUCAAGUAGAGGUCGAGGAAGCAAGGGGAGAAGAGAAAAGGGAAGCAGUUGACUUACUGCUUGAAUAUAGUAAGGGCAAGCUACGUAGUUAUUAGUAUACAAAGGCAAAGACAGUAAUGAACCACCUGGUAUUGAACUAACCAAGCAGAGCCCCAUUAACCAUAUAGUAAUAGUGAACACCGCCAAGCGUAUACUAAUGUUGCUAGGCAGGGCCGUUAGUGUUCAGCAUAGCUUUAGCCUACCUCUCCUGGAAGUUAUCAUUUCAUUGAGGAUUACCUGCUUGCUGGUUCAUCUGGGCAUUCUUCUCUCUAAGAUUCAACGAUCACUCUACUUUCAACAUUCCUUCUAGCUUCGUCACCAACACAUCUCUUAUUUAUUACUAUUAUAUAUGGAUACCCUGGCCCCAGUAUACUCUUAUUCUUCGCGCUUAGUAGCUUUGUCAUUAGUAUUAGUUUGUUGGUUCUGUUGCGCUUACAGAGUUUACAGCCACUGCGGAUUCUCUUGGUUUAAUGCUCCGUUACUUCAUUCCUGCAAUUUCAUCUAUCUCUGACUCUUACUGAUUACCAGCUUCUAGAGGAUCUCGCAACAAAUCAUUUCAUCAUCUAUCUCCAAUUACAUUUCAUCAUCUAUCUCCAAUUACAAUAGAUUCUCUACAAGGGCUGGCUCUAUUCCCUUAUCUUUUGAAAACCUAUACUUUUCAUUGCAUUUCCGGAUUCUCUCGUAGACAACAAAAGAAAGAAACUAUCUCGUAGACAAUGACACAAGAACUCAAUCAAGAACUCGCUAACGGAGCUCAAUUCGAUGAUUUCUGCCUGCUCGACUCGAGGGAAAGUAUGAAGUGGAGUACCAACAAUCAAGGGCUUUCUAACGUUAUAGCACUAUGGCACCAGUAUCAAGUAUAAUGCUACGUCGCAAAGGACCUACUACUGUUCUCGAAAGUAUUAUAUCUGGCAAGCUGGGCCCGGGCAACUCACUAACAGCGCUAACGGAGCUAUGUUCGCCUUUCUUUCCUGGAGCCUAGCCCUCUCCCCUCGCUUUGAUUUUCUAUAGCCGCUCCCUUGUGCCUUUCUUUCCUUGAGCCAACAAACCCACCCCUCUUUGUGUCUAUAUUAGUCUUAGGGUAGCUCUCUUCUAUUCCUUAAAGAGCAAGCUUCGGCGUUUUCAAGCAAUGCCUCUAUUCGUUCUUUAUACUCGUAGCAACAACAACCCGUCCUUUUUCAACAAGAACUACGGCUUUGGAACACACGUCAGCUGAAAUGACUUGUUCUAACGUUAUUGUAAUUGGGGCUUGUUACUUAUGGAACUCCACGAGACUACUCGGGGUCAAGCACGCAAAGAUAAAGCCAAGACAAAGGAAUUGCUGCUGAAGAAGGAAAGAAAGAAUAGGGGGAAUUGCUGCUGAAGAAGGAAAGAAAGAAUGGAGGAACAAGCUUAAGAAAGAAGGGCCGCUUAUUGGAGUUGGAUUUCUGAGUAAGCUCUUUCUCUUAUAUGAGAGUUAUACAAGAUAUCUUCAUUAAUUCAAGGUAGCUGAAGGCCAAACUCCGCCUACUUAGUUUUUCAUGCUGGAGAAGUAGAAAGUCAAGUAUGGAGCGGGCCAGGCUAUAAGUCAAAUCAAAGGUGUCUCUCGUAGAGCAAUUCUCUAUUUUGUCAGUAAAUAGUUGUUAGUGAAAUGCAAGUAAAUAAGCUUUUAGGCAAUAAAAGAAAGAAUACUAUUGAGUAUAAUGGAGUCCUUUUGUUAAGGGUUCGGCUGCUGCCAAUAAAUAUUCCAUUAUGAAAACUGGGCAGUAAGAUGACAGAAGAGAUUCUAUACGAAGCAACUUGGACCACAACUCUUGAAACACUUUAUGAAGCGCUAAGCAUAUUCCUGAAGUAGAGAACAAGCAACGGAAAGCAAGCACCCAAUUCUUGACCGCUACACAUGAGUCUAUAAUACCGCUACACACAUCAGUAUAUAAUCCGGCUGAGUAGGAAAGGCAGGAAGUGGCCAACCAAUCCAUUUCAGUGCUGUGCUGUCAAAGGCCGCUUACAUGCCACGGCAACGUUGUGCUAAAGGAGUUUUACAAGGGUAGGAAAGACAGUCUCUCUCGUAAGGUUCGUUUUUUCAACCUCUUGUUAAUGCUGGAGAAGUAGAAAGUGUUAAUGCUGGAGAAGUAGAAAGUCAAGUAUAGAAAAGAAAGCCUGCCUUGCCUCAAACUACAUUCCAUAAUGGCGCGAAACAGCGAAAACAAACAAGUGGAACAACCCGGCAACCCUGACUAUAUAUUGGAUUAGGAAACAAUGCCAUGUUAGGUUAAUAUCUCUUGUAUCAUGUGCUACUUAUUUAGAAACUUAUGAAUGGAACAAUAAGCAAGGCAAAGAAUUUUGUACUAUUGUGCUGUUCCCUUGUGCGCUAGUUUCGGAGUUAGGUGGAUGACUUGUUAGGUUACUUGAUUAUACCCUGACUGGAGACUAAUGAUUCUGGAUACGAUGACACUCGAACAGAACUUGAAUGCUUGAACCACUACAAGGUGCUUCAGAAGAUAGGACAAGAAGUUGAGCGUAUGAAUAAGUUCCUCCGGUGUUAGCGACUUGGAUCAUUACAAGGUGUUGUCUUUCCCUCACAUCAACAUAUAGGGUAUGCCCCCUUAUCUCCUUUAUUAUUGACUGUAGAAUCCGUAGCGGGAAGGAAAUCCGUGUAGUAUCUGAAUUGUACCCAUGGGUCAGGGGGGUAACUAAUGUUGUCGUAUCUGACUCAAACUAUUGCUAUGGCUUUAGGCUCAUUAAUCUAAACGUAUCUGACUCAAACUAUUGCUAUGGCUUUAGGCUCAUUAAUUGGAAUAAGGGGGUAAAGGGGUCGGGGAAGUCAAUCUCUCUCUCUUGCCUUAGGAUAGUAAGCUAGGGUACUGCUCCCUCGAAAACUCCGGGUUGUAAAUGGAACUCGCGUUAGGAGUUCGCUGCGAUGUUGCUUAUUUGCUUGUUCAGUGGGUUUACUGAAUUCUAGAACACAUGAUGCGCACUUAUGACUUGAAACUUGAGGGAUACUUUACUUGAGACUGCUUGAGCAACCAUUAACAAGCCAGUGUGUUCCGUGUCAAGUAAGAAAAGAAUCAUAAAGAAGACUCACUCACUAAAGCACCACGCCUCGCUCACUUACGCUCUUGCUUGUUCCAGCAAUGGAAUAUAGUGGGCAUCUUAUAUAAUGGGGAAACCGAACUCCUGACUUGAAAGAGGAAGAAGUCAUAUCGGCACCCCUAACGUUAACACUAAAAUCACUCGCUACCGGAGUUUCACCUUUUCUCACAACACUCAAAAACUCACGGAUUUUCUAUUCCUACUCGAUCGGGCCACUUACUUAUUACUUGUUCUCAUUACUGUGAGAAGCUAGAGGAAACCGAACCCUAUACACUUUAAGGAAGGACAUAGGCAUAGCACUAUAAGAUAAGGACAGAGGUACCGUUAAGGACAUAGGCAUAGCACUAUAAGAUAAGGACAGAGAGGCACCGUUACUCUAAACAAAUUGAACAAAAAACGACUCAUGAACAAGCAAGGUUAGCGAGUGAGACCUAUAGUAUAGAAAAAUCCGGGUAAUCUUACAAACACAUUCUAUACAAUUUAGCAUUAGGAGAGUUUGCAUUGUUUAAGCCAAGUGAAAGAAAGCGCUCGGGUUUGAUUGAUCCAGUUAGGUUACAAAUCCUUCUAUUAUAUGUGAGCAGUGAUUUCACCUUCUUUAUAUGCUAAAUCAUAUCCAUAAGCUGCGAUUUCACCUUCCAUAUGUUUCACAAAAGCAAGAGAUUUCUCAUCUUGUCGACGCUGAGCGGAUUCGAAAGUGUUCCCUGGAAAGCGGAAAGUCAGCGUUAACCAGCUCCAGGCCUGCUCUACAGAAUCAGAAUGUAUUUCCUACUGCAAGAGAUCGGGCUCACCCUUGCGCUGCGCUACCUAGCUAACAAUCACAAAGGUUACAGCUAUCGGGUGGACUUAACGACUCUCACUACUCUCAAGUACAGUCUCAGGGCUAUCUUAUUAGUCAAUAUGCAUUGUAAGGACUGUUAGGUGGGGGCGGAGAAUUUGCUACAACUUGUCUAGUAGUUGUGGGAUGAAACAAGAACAGAAAGAGACGAAACUAAAGCUAACUCAACUACACGGCUAUUGCCUAAAGCUAACUCAACUACACGGCUCAUUCAUUACAGUCAGGUAUCAAGAUAGAGUUGGAAAUCCUUGCUUGACUUCCGUGCCUCUCGUAUCAAGUCUAGUAAUGUAGUCCAUAUUGCCCGUAAUGUAGCCCAUAUUGCCCACUACACUUUAAGUACAGAAUCUAGUAAAUGACGGCUACUUAAUCUAAUGGAGGGUUCAGCUCAAGAAAACGGUAUAUUUGGGGUAAUUGGUCAGGGAAAGAAGAACCUAUGAUUAAUAGAGGGAAAGAAGAACCUAUGAUUAAUAGUGGGUGCCCACUUUCUUUAUGAAAUGUUGGAAAGAGGUAUAGUAUAGAAAAGAAAGGGGGAAAGGAAAGACCUCAUUAGUAUGAGAUAGAUUAAGGUAACAAACGACUGGAGCAUAAAGGAGUGCGCCAUAUGAGAUAAGAAUCGAAAUCGUAGUGCGCCUAUAAUAGAAGAAAGUCACAACACUCUCUAAUAUUGCUUGACCCCGGGCCUAUCAGGCAUGUUCACUCAAUCCCCUUCAAGUGCGCACUUAACAAAAAGGAGUCUGCUGUCAAAGCUUUCGUUUCUUUUGGUCGACCCUGUAGAACCGGCUUCCGUUCCUUGAUUCAAACCUGCUUCCUCAAUCUUCGUGAGUUUUUGUCUUAUAUCAAUAGAUCGUCGUGGCAUGCAAACUCCCUACGCUACCUCCUGUGGCAUGAAGUAAUCCAGACAUAUCUCGUUGAUCAAGUGUUUUUCGUGGGCUAUGGGAACCGAACCCAAUUCUUCCACCCCACAAGAAAUCAAAAACCGACUUAUCAAAUAAGAGCCGGUACUGAGCUGAGUCAAUAAGUAACCACUGAUCCGCUGUAAGUACUAUUUCAAGUCUAACGUUGGCAUUUGAUUCUCCAAAGGAAAACUCACUUGCUUGCUUUUUGAUACGCUUGCUGGAGAAGGUCGGUUAAGUACACGAAUCCAGGAUAACCGAACUCUAACUCGCGAUCGAGAUCAUAUACUCUAUUUAUCUUUCUGGAUUACCUAUUCAUUCUUCGCGGCAUAAGCCAUUUUAUAUAAUACCACCGAGCUUGACUUCGAACUUACCUAGCGGCAUAAGCUAUUUUAUAUAAUACCACCGAGCUUGACUUCGAACUUACCUAAUUAAUACAUUUACAGAGAGGCGAGUUGUCAUGGUAUUCCACCAUAUAGACUGGGCGGGAGUUAGCAAUGAGUUUCUUAACUACCCCCGAAAAGAAAGAUGAAUUUCUUGAGUUCUUGGCAAAACAAGUUGGUCGUAAAACCAAACGUGGCCAAUCUAAGCCAAAGACUAAGGCUUAACUAAGUUGUGAAAUUAGGGUUAUAGGGCAAAAGCAAAGCAACAUCAUUUUGUUAGCAUAAAAGUGAUCCCGAGAUAGGGUUAAUACCAGUAGGGCUAUAGAUGGAAUUUCUCUUUGCUUAUUCUGUUCUGAAUGAAUCUAUUUGAUUUAGGCAUUACUCUUCCUUGCUAAUGCUAGUCUUAAGGGUUGAAGUGCUCCGGAGUCUGCCCAUGAGUUUCGGGGAAACGUUUAUAGAGCCAGUUCCACUUUCAUUUCAUCGAGUGUGAGCAAGCCAGGUCUUGCGGAGCCUCGCCUACAAUGUUAGAAAGAUCAGGCAGUUCCAAAAGCGACUCAUCAGAAAGUCAGGGAGAAAUAAUGUCCCUCCACUGUACAUAGACUGGCACCCUGUUUACCCUUGCGAAAACUGUUGUUUCUAUAUAACAACUAUGGAUUUGGAUAACUUCCCCCAAUAAGCAUUUUUCCUUCCCGCCUGCCAAAUGCUACAAAAUGGGAAUCAUGCUUUCUAACCAAUCAUGCUUUAUAACAAACACCCUGGGAGAAAAAUGAACCCUGCAUGGGUAGACCAAGUUAUUGUUCCGUAGACUCUAAAGAAAAUCGAAUAGCGGAGUUGUCCUAAUUCCCCUACAUUUAGCAGAGCCGUCCUAAUUCCCCUACAUUUAGCACAUUUAUAGGACAUUGUGUUUUUCUAACAAGAUAACAAGAUCCAGCCUGAAGUGAAGCAGUAACGCCAUCGUUAGUAAGCCCUACCAGUUACAGUUACCACCACGAUAGACAGAUGCAAUUGAAAGAACGUUGUCUUCCAAGGUUCUAUGCCAAGUAUUUAGUAUUUACGUCAUCAACAAGCUUUGUACUACAUGGGGAAUUAGUUGAAUGAGGAAAUAGCGAAUGAGAUGGAUGAUAAAGACUUCUCUUCAUAUAACUGAGAAGAAGAGGCAUGAUCCGUCAAAGAAAUUAGUAGUGAAUAGUCCAGCAAGCUACUACUCAUCUCAUGUUGCGCGGCAGGAGCCUCCUAAGGGAGUUCGGAAAAAGAAAAGAAUAGAAAGUACUGGCAAGGAAGCCCGUUGUAACGACGAUAAAGUCGGUGGUCUACUUCUGUAGAUAUAUAUAUAUAUGAUUGAUUGUGCUCUCGUAUCAAGAAGAGAAAGAAUGCGAAUGUACCUUAGAGAAUGCCCACUAUGCGGUGUGUGAAGCAUCUAUGGACUUGGACUUUCAUCGCCAGUUUCAUCCUAUAGAAAUGGAAUGCAAGCUAAGCGCGGGUCUGGUCUUCUUGUUCCCUUCCAGUCUUGUUCGGAUACUUGUGUUGUCUCCGAAGGAGGCUCAACUACGUAGCUUGUCUGGCGCUUUACCUUUCUUGUCUACUCAAUCAGAAGCGAGCUUUCUAUUUCUCUUUACUAAUCUAAUGCUUUCUAUCUUAUCUUGACUAAUCUCAUAUUUAUAUACGAUGACAUCAAAGAGGAAUGCGACGCCCCCUCUGCGGAACUCGUUGAAAACUAUGCCUCCACCCACCCACGGAGCUAUUAAGGGAAUCAUAAAGUACUUGCGUUGCGCUUAAGGGAAUCAAAGCGGAGCAGGUAUAAAGAAGGGUUUCUUAUAUAACACUGGGUAAUAAGGGAUAUAUGAUUCUGGGUAAUAUGGUAUAUAUGAUUCAAUUCAUUCUUGUUUGACAAGGCGCAAGUUCCAUUACUGGUGUUGGCGAAAGCACAUCUGUCCUUCAUACUUGUUCUGUUGCGCUAAUAGAAUCAGCGGGAAAGCUAUUAAGGUAGAAAGCCUGAGCAGGAAAGUCAACUCGAGAAUCAUAAGAAACAGGAGAAAGAUCUGAGGCUGGGGGUGAGAGUGGAGUGAUUGUGCGAGUACUAAGUGGAUAAUUGCCUGUUUAUUGUCUCGGAUCUGGAAAUGAGGUUUCUGUUCGCAAGGAAAGUUCAGUCGACUCGAUUUGAAGCUGAAGAAGCAAUGGAAGCGGAUUCCUAUUUCUCAAAUUCCGUCUAAAGGUCAGAACUAAUUCCGUCUAAAGGUAAGAAACAACAUGAUGAGCUAAGCUAGGUAUUCUAGAAUAAGUCACUCACACCUAGUAUAACACCUAGUAUAAGAAGUAACCAAGAAAGUGAGAAUCUAACUAUCCACUAAAAAGUAAGGAUUUCAAGACAAGGAAACUAUUCUAAGGGCUCGCGUAUAAGGCUAGUAAUAGAAUCAUCAUAGUUGUAAUAGAAUCAUAAGAAUAGGAAUAAGAAUAGAAAGUAAUAAAAGCAAGGUAGAUUCAGAAUUGACCUCUUUCUUGCCAACCCUUUACUGUAUUCUCUCACACCUAGUAUAAGCGGGUGCAUUUCAAUAUCAUAUGCCGGAGCAGGAAAGUCUCUCGGUGUUGUCGACGAAACAGGAAGUACUGAAAGCUAACGUGGAGUUUCAUAAGUCAUAUCUAUGUAAUAGAAUCAUUAGCGAGGUAUUAUCUAUGUAAUAGAAUCAUUAGCGAGGUAUUAUCUAUACGGUAACCAACCAACCCUGUGCUUCAUUCUGCAAUUCCAUUCUUUUCGUAGUCAAUUCCAUUCUGCAAUUUGUUUUUCUCAACUCCAAAUGGAUUUCUAUGUAAUAUGGCACUGCACUUGCACUGUGAUCGGAGAGGCUUUCAGCACCUUGCAUCCCCUUCUCUUUUGUCUAUUUUGCUUUUAGUUAGGAAGGCGGCUAUGAGAUUACUAACAUCUAGAUUACCCUCCCCUAUAGUUUAUUGAAUGACUUCGAGUAAAUGUUUGUGAUUUAUGUUAUCAAGGCAACCAACGAUAUCAGAUUGAAACUAAGGUCCCCAACGUUCCAUUUGGAAAAAGAAAGUAAUUGGUCCUCGCCCUUUCCUAAACCCGUGAGAUUGAUUUGGAAUAAAAGAAGAAGGUAAGAGGGUAGUACUGUGUCGAGUAACAGUACAGGCAGUAGCUAGACCACUUGCAUGUCGAACAGAUCUAAUCACAAGGCAAAAGUGGAUUAGGGGCGCAAUGACCUAGAAGCUCGUAGGCUAUGGCUCAGUUCAUACUCGAGUAGAGGCUCAGAACAUUCUCGCGAAGGUAGACCAUAGUUUGUGAGGAUACAUUCUUGGCUAGAUCAUUCGAGUCAAUGCAUAGAUCUUUUACAGCUUCGGGUUAGUUCCAUUGACUCCGCCUUUGAUUCUGUUUUUGGUAUUUCUUCUUCGAUCAAAGGUAUGCAGAAACCUCUAAAGUAGAAAAACACCCGGGUGCGAGUCUUAUCCCACGCCCCACCACUCAAGUUUUAUGGCUUAGAGUGCAAUUCUCUAGCUCUGUUUCCUGUUUACUAGGUUUGAGUCAACUUCUUUAGAGUCGUUUUCUUUCUUAAUGGGAGGGUGCUCCGAUGGCAUGAACCCAGGGACGAUCAAAGGAAAUACGAUUUCGGUAUGAUUCAAGGUGAAACUAUCGGUAUGAUUCAAGGUUCAACUCAUUCUUAUGUCAGCGAGCAAAGGAUCACUCUUAUAUCAAAUGACAAAUCAUCCUUUAUUUCUGGGUUAAUUCAAUAGGGACCCUAUGUUGCAUUCUCGUAGAUUGAGGGGAGGGUUGGUUCUUUCAAGGUCUCGCUUUGGCGCGUUAAGCACACGCUAUUAUAGUAGAAUAAUAAGAAUAAGAAAGAGAAGGAUUUUAGGAAAAGGAUAGAAGGAAGGUUCAAAGGGUUCGUUUGGGGGCGUUAAGCACGCGCUACAAUAUAAUAAGAAUGACAGGCUAACAGGGUUAAUAAGAAUGGAAGUCGAAGGGGUUAAUACAGAAUUCCAUACAGGAUAGUAGGGCUAAAGCUAUCAAUUGCAAACUUCACGGCUUGUCCCACACGUUGCUCGGCUCCACAAUUGCUAGUGUUGGGGAAGAGUAGGAAUUAACGAACCCACCCGGCUGUUUAUCUUACUUACUAAAAAACAAAACAACCUACCUGUUGCAUUGUAGAGAGUUAACAGCUUGAGUUUCGUUUUCGUUCUGAAUCUUCCAAAACCAAUCUAGUGGUAUCUUUUAUUCUAUGCUUGUUAGCUUCCGACUCAAACUACUAGGAUUGAUUGCGAGCCUGCCUUUAUUGCAGCCCGUGCCUUCGUCCGUGGUCGAUGAACAAUGGAAACUAGUGCUAAUCAGAAUUCCACUUUGUAGUAAAGGAAUGCAGGUGGAGAUAUAGAAUCAAACUCCGGGGGCCAGCACAGCAUGCAUCGAAGGGGCCGGGCACUACUCAGUUCGCUCUGUAAGCGACCAUGAACUAAGGCUUCAAGUAGGCACCACGAAUUUGGUAUGGUUACCCCCUUUCCCUAUUUCAUAAUAGCAUCUUCACUUCUUCUCAUGGGUACGAGCAUGCACUCUUAUACUAAUGGAUUGAGUUCCGAUACUGACUUGAGUCAAAUGGAUUGAGUUGUGAUACUGAUGAGUUAAUGGAUUGAGUUCCUAUACUAUCGAGUGGAAUGGAAUUCCCGGAAUGAAAGAAGGGCUAACAAGACGAAAACUCUCAACAAAGGAUGAAACUCAAAAGAGAGAAUUGUAAUUAAACUGAGGAGAUAUAAUUGCACUGGGUAGUCCGAGUCUUACUUGCUGGCUAGAGUCUCCCUUUCCCUUCUUCUCACUCGGGCACUCCUUGGUUGGAUCCUACCCUUCCGAUGUUGAAGUGGAACUUGCCCCUCUGGCACUCGUUACUCGCAUUCUUGAGUUGUAGCUACAAUGCCUAUGCUGUUCCAGUGAGAAUCCACCUAUCCUUGCUUUCGCUCUGAAACUAAUGUAUCUCAUCCUGUUACUCUGGGUACGAUGUAGUGCAUCCACGAUAGGCUGUAACUCAAUUAUCAUCAUAAUGGUAACAGGGAGGCCCCAAGACUUUAAUGCUAUACAGGAGAUCGCACUAGCAAAAGCUAGACUGGAACGAGAGCAUCUGAACAAAACUAGGAACUUCCACUUCUUUCUCAUAAGAAAAUGUCCGUAAACCAAGCCUUAUUCGUUAGCUCCAUCAUUCUAUGCCUCUUAUUUCAGUAUUACUUUCCUUUCUUUGAUUCUGACUUGAUCUUGUAAGUCUCCUUGCUCUGUUCCUAUUCUUUGACACUUGCUUGCUCGAUUCUGAAUUUGCUAGUGGAGUUUCUUAUCGGCAGUAGUAGGGUUCUCGCUAGUCACUAGUUUCUUUCCUACUUGCCAGUUGAGCUCUGUGUCCCUCCGCAGCUUAGCCAUUCUUUUCUCCUGGGCAGUUGUUCUGCUUCACUCCGAUAAGCCAUUCUUUUACCACUUAGCCCGGUAUCCCAACUAACUAAUGCACAGGCCCGCUACGUAUUUAUUCUGAAAUCAGAAGUUGGAUUAUGAUUCCUUGCCCUAUUACUCUUGUCUACUCUACUAUUAUUGGUAUAUCAUAGAAAAAAGGCUAUUUGAUACCAGAAUACAGAGGAAAAAGUGUCCAGGUCGAGUUGCCAUCUCAUCUCUCUUGGUCUGCCCUGUUAUAGCUGAGGCAGGGAGCUCGUCAAGGCAUUUCUCUGCCCCGCCUGUGAAGUAGAUCUGGAACAACCAAUGAAACCAAGGAAUAACACUUAAACAAAAGAAUCCAUAACCAAGGAAUAACACUUAAACAAAAGAAUCCAUCAGGAAGGAAAUACUGAAUUAAGGGGGCGCGCACGCGGUCAUAUGAAUGAAGAACCCAUAAUUGCAUUAGAUACGGAAGCCAUCUUUACAGUAAGGCUGAGCGGUACUACUAGGCUUUGUUGCUUUGGCUCAGUCUAAGAGUGAAUUCUCUCUUUUCUUUCUGCAAUUCCUUAUCUAUUAUCUUAUAUUUAUUAUACUUAUAUUUACUUAUAACUUAUAUUGACUUAUAUUUAUCUAUUUACUUAUAUUUCUCAUAUUCAUAUUGCAUUGGCACUGAAGAAACUAUUUGAGUGUUCUUUUUAUAGGGCACUGAACUCUUCCCUGUAGUAGUCGCUUGGUGACUCAAACUCCAUUAAAGGAAUGGCAGGCUUACAGGCAGUAGGUAACAGUUUGACAGUUAGUAUUGGUAGACUCGAAGCAAGUAAUAGAAUCAUAGGUGAAAUACAAGAAGCAAAGGCAGGGCAGCGUCAGCUGCUGGCUCACAGGCAAGAAAGCAAGUAAGUAGUGUUGGUUUGAUAGUUAUCAGUAGAAGAAUCUCAGAUAGGAGGAGCAGACUUGUAUGUAGUAGAGCAAGGACCCGGAUCAUUAGAUAAAGAAAGGUAGCCAGGAAAGUCAUACUAUAAUAUAGGAAAGUAAUACUAAUAGGCAUGGUAAGGAACAAGCCCAAGAACGAUAAACGAAAAAGCAAGCACGAAAGGCACUAGUGUGAGUUUUAGUAGUCAAAGGAAGGCUUAGAACAACGAAGCGCAGGCCUAGCAGUGACAGCAUUAGAAGCAGCCAUCGUUCGCUGCCCUUGUUCCGAGCUAAGGUCUUGUGUUAGCACUAGCCUAUUGAUUUCUUGUAAGAUAAAGGAUCCAGAUCGGCAGUCCAAGGCGAAAAGGCAGACAAUGCAUACUAAAAACGAGGAGAGGUAGACUUCAGUAAGGGAGCGGGAGAGCGAAAGGAACGAGUCAGGUUGUUAGGCAUGUUUGCUUGAGAGUUGGUAGUGACAGGCUACUAGUUGAAGUCAAUAAUUUCAAUAAUCAAUAAUAAGUAUGGUUACCUAAUCAAUAAUAAGUAUGGUUACCUGGUUCGCGCCACCCCUAGCCUUAUAGCUCGUUAUCAAAGAAAGAAAGAUGAUAGGAUAGUCAGAAUGAGAUCGAGGAAUACAAACUAAUUGCAAGGGGACAAAGUCUUAGAUACAGUAGAGCCAGGUUCUAGGUAAUUUGUGCAAUUCCGAUUAGCAGUAGUUCGAUCCAGUUGCGUUUUUGUUAGUAGAUGCGCUACGUCCUCGUACCAAUAUUCUUACUCAUCUCAGCUGGCUCGCCGGGGAAAGGAAAGGAAGAAAGAGGAGAAAGGAAAGGAUCAUAGAGGUGCGUGCGUGCGAGAGAGCCUGCUUUGUGCCAAGGAACCUGGGCUGGGGCUUCUUUCUUUCUAUAGUGAAAGACGACAUUUCAAACCCGCUGCGAGAAAGAGAGACUAGAAAGUACUGCUAAACACCUUCAUGAAAACUUUACCCGGUCCUUGAUCACACACAUUCUAGAUGUAGUGUAAUAUGGAUAAAGAAGGAGCUCGUAAUUGAAGCAUGGAACGAACGAACCUUGUCUACGGCACUUCCUUUUCACCUUGAAGGUUUUUGGCUACUCCCUUAGAGCCUCUUAGACUAUUUAUGAUCCCAGCCCUUAAAGAAAGAUGCUGAUGAAAGAAAUUCCGUAUGCGCUCCACUAGCUUAGUCAUCCCGAUGGAAACCUUACAUAACCCCAGCCAGUAUGAAUAGACUAAGGCAUAUCGAAGUAGGAAUUACUUGACUCGCGAGGUCUCUCUAUCGGAAAAGAAGGGCUUUCUAUCAGGAGAUCGGAGCAGGGGAGUUCUUCGUGAACCACCUUCACGGAUUGGAAAGGGAGGAUCACGCUUAUUUACCCCACCCCGAAACGAAAGACUUCCACGGACUCAGUGAGUGGACAGCAUCCCAAUUACCGUAGCCACAAACCCAUUUCUUACCUAUCGGGAAAUCCACAAGGCUAAUAAGCAUUUCUUCUGUUUUCUCUUGAUGGGACUGAGAAUGCAUCUGAACCCAAAGGAAGGUCAUAACGCUGUUCGGGUAGACAGGUAAUGAUCUGUGUUUGGUUUUUAUGGAUUUCUAUUGAGUGUUGGUUGUUGACCAACGGAAAGAUGCAAUCACUAAAAGAUAAUACCACCAAAGAACUAAAAGAAGUACCACCGGCACACCAGCUAUAUCAACGUUGUUAUAAUCAUAUUGAACCCUUUCUCCAUUUUCGAAAGUGAAAGAAGCCCGCAUCCCUCUAUUCUUUACCCGGUCCAUUGUGGGCCGGGCCUAAUAGUUUAUACCACCCAAGUAAGACGACUACAUAGGCAUUUGUUCCCGCUUAUUCCUUAUUUCUUCUUCGGGAAUAUACUUCCAUUCUAAUGAAUGAAGUCAACUCGAAGUAUUUUCUUAGAAAGCCAUCUCUACCUCUUUUCUUUCUUCUCCUCUUCUACCCGAAUAGACAUCGAAAGAAAUGUGCAUUUUCAGGAUUUAGUGUUUUAAGGAUUAAGGCUAUCGGUCUCCUAGGUAACUGGUCUAUUGUAUAUAGUGAACAGGGCCCAAUGCAAGCAAGCUAAAGCUAUUUGUGAACCUAUCUCUUGUCCGGCAAGCGUAGUCGAGAGCCAAGCCAUCCAAUUCCAUGAAAAUUCAUAUGCCCAUCUUACAGGGGGCGGCAUUGGAACUCUCGGCUGAUUCCACAGGAGCCAUUCUUUCCACUCAAAGCCCUUCUUUGAUCUUUCCUGGUAAAGCUAUUCAAAGCCCCGGAAAGCAUAGUCUGAAGGGAAAGCGAACCGGUCAACCUCAUCAUAGAGAAAAUGUUCACUUACCAAGAGGGGAAGAGUGUAAAGAAAAGAGAUCGCCCAAUAAGCUGCUAUCGGUUACUGGCUUUUGGUAAGUAUGUUUGAUCAAGGAGUUCUUCGGUGUGCAAGAAAGGUUGUUUCUAUGCUCUACUUUUGGAUCUAUAAACUGAAAAUAGAUGAUGUAUUUCUUCUUUCGCUGUUGGAAACUCAAAAGAACCUACCCUAUACCUGGGCUUUCUGUCUUUUUGUCUGAAUUCGAUUCGAACCAAUGACAAUCCAUCAAAAGAGUUGUGAAAAGUCCUAUAAGCUAUAUAAAUAGAAACUUUGGAAAUGGGACUAGUAGUCUAGGAAAGCCUUAGCACGAUCAUAUUGAGAGGGACAAUCCUAUUCAUUCCUAUAGGUAGUUUGCUUUAAUACCUGAGCGGCGCUUACCUUGUUUAUCAGGAGGCUUUCAGCACCUUAUAACACAUGGCUUGGUUCACUUGCGAGUAUAGGGAGACUUAGAAUUGAUAAAGAAGUUCGAAGGCAUUGUUUUCGUAGUAGUCGUGUCGUCACCGCUGGAGCUCAUUGUUUAGGGUGCGAAAGGAAAGGAGAAGUUCUGAGCUAGAGGGCGGCUAAUACAGAGCAGAGCUUCUUUCGGAGAUGUAGCUCCAAGUAGUAUAUUUGAGUUCGAAGGAAACUAGACUCGCACAAUAUCCGCUAUUAAGGUGCCGAGUGUGAUCUACUGGCAAACAAUCCAUUUCUAUCAUCCCUCACCUCGAACGGAAAGACAAUAAGGUCAUUCUCCACUUAGCGCUUAUAGAACUCGUGUUAGCACUUCCUCACGCUACCUAUCUUCUUAUUCGAUUCGAUAACUCCCGUUAGCCUAUAGUCUUUUGUUGCACCCUUGCUUCUUCCCUUGUGGGCAGUCAGUGUACGAGUUUACUUAACUCUCACGGAUUCUUCUCUAGGCGCAAAGUCAGUCAAAUUCCACUGAGAACUUAUACUUAAUCAACAGGCAACACAAUAACCUCUUUCUAAGACAAACGGAUGAAACAAAACUCCACUUGCCCUUGAAAUGAUUAAGUCGUACCGUCUUCCUCGCACAGCUGAAAGAGACUCCACUGAACUUGAAGAAUCGUUUUAUGCUGACCCGACACUGGAUCUUGGUACUGAGCCUCAUCGAGAUCAUAUUGUUCUCUUUGCGUAUUAGUAGUGGAGCUGUAGUGGGCCUUAACCUCAGCAUUCGAUUCGAUAGGCAAUAAAUCUAUGGCGUAAGAGUACUUUCUUUGCGCGCAUUAUGUUGUUGGGUGUUUUGUGACUGUUAUAUGUGAGCUCCAUUCCAUUUCUUAAGCGCUUACGUGAGUUUUGACUUCAGAGCAAAGGUAACGCUUAGUUGCUUCUCUUCUCUUUACUUUCCGGGGUAGGUGCCCAUCUUAGUUCUUUUCUGGAAGUUUAGAGGUCAGGUUACUCAAUUACAUUGAUUGGAGGUGCACUUCCAUAUUCUUUUCCGUUUCGCAGUGUUGCUCGUUGUAACGAGUUAUCUGUUCCGUUGCUUGUUCUUGACGCCCUGAGUCUUGUGCCGUGCCCGAACUCCCUUGACUUUUUAGCACUUGUUACUCACUUGUGAACAGAACCUCGAUACAGUGGAGCUAAUGAUUAAGCCUCUUCUCUUUAUUACUUUAUUAUGGAGAACCUCUCUCCUUUCCUAGCUUGAGUAUUGAAAGAAACUCUAAACUCCGGUACAAGAUUGGAUAUAUAACUCGAAACUCCUAUCCGGCUAAUAACCUGACCUCUACAUUCCUUCCCGCCGGAACAGGCAAUUCUGAAUACCUCUUAUCCUAUAUCUCUGGCACAGGUAUUCCCCAGUACGAAGUGUGACCUUAAUCUCUAUCAUACCUAGGAGCUAAUUCUUCUGUUUCAUCUACUAAUCAAAGCCAGAUCCCGCUCCUACUCGCUGAUUGAUUGGGAGUCUUCAAAGGGAUAGUUAGCUUUAAGAUCCAAGUCUACUUUUUCUUCUUUUUAUCCAGAUCUCGUCGACUACACUCUAACUUAUGAUCCCGCAUAUUCUAUUACUGCAAUACAAUUCCCUCUCUCCACAACAAAGACAGGAACACAGAAAUACAUGAAGAUCAGGCACAAUUCGAGUCGCUUAACUAUAUGCCUAUGCUCAAGGCUAGGCGCUGCAGAAUCCAAUCCCUACUUCUUUCCGAAGAAAAGACUGGAAUAAUUGAUUACUAACUAAGAGGCACCCAAUACACUAAGGACACAGAGGAAGAGGAGAGGAACUAUUAGAACUGUUUCUACUUAGCCUUUCCAGUACCUGUUCUUAAGUACCACCACUCAUUAUCUACUGAAGAGAGCAACCCUUUAUCUACUGAAGAGAGCAACCCUAAUAGUGAGUUGACAGGCGAGAGAGAGAGAUCUCCUAGGAUAAGAAACCAGCUUCAUGAGGUUGGUAUUACUUCACCGUCGAGAAAGUCAAUAGGACUUCACUUCUAUAUUAAAGCAACAUUCAUUCAUUCAGCCGUAGCUCGCUUCUUUUGGGGUGUGAAUCAGUGUCAAACUCAAAUACCCAACAAGCCGUUUUGUGCAUUAGCUCUCCCUGAAAAGGAGGUGAUCCAGCCGCACCUUCCAGUACGGCUACCUUGUUACGACUUCAUUCUAGUAACUAGCCCCCACGUUCGGCAUCCUCUUGUUAGCUGUUAAGGUAAGCACUUUCGGGCAUGUCGAGCUUCCCUAGUGUUACGCAUCUCAUCUAACUGAAUUGGCCUGUGUUCUAGAGAGUNNNNNNNNNNNNNNNNNNNNAGUUGGCCUGCUCCACCUGACCUAACAGCUGACCUUGCAGACCUAGUAUCUAAUGCGCUAUAUUGCAUACCCGAUCCUUAUCUUACCUCUCCCGAUCCUUAUCUUACCUCUUAAGAUACUAGAUGCAGAAAGACACUCGUAGCCAUAAGUCCUAUCCCUAUCCAUACGCGCAUACCCUAGUCACAGAGGAAUUCCACAAGCCCAGCUGCUGGCCCCUGAUUGAAAGUACUAAUCCACUUCUUUUGUUUGAGCAAACUUACAAAAAGGGAUGGAAGGUAUAGGUCUCUGUGCGGAAAUAAGGAAUGUAGGGUCUAGAUUUGUGCUACAGUUUCGAGUUGGAAAGCCAGACUUGUUGUUCAAGGGCAAUUAUUCUUAUUAUUGUUAGAGAAUAGAUAGAUAAGUUACAAUAUUAGAGAAUAGAUGGAUAAGUAACAACGGUAUUAAUACUAAACCAGUUUGGUUUUCGAGUCAAAGAAUCAAGCUAGUAAUCAAGAAUUCCAGCUUCGAGGUCAUGAAUGCAAGAGGAGAUUAUUCCUCUAUACCAUAAGUCAACCUGCCUACCCUGGAAGCGUUCCCAAACAGCCAAGAGAAGGCGUUUCAAAUGCAUUUAUAGGUGCCUCUUACUCAAAUCCUGAGGGUCGCACUUUUGGAUAGGCUCUUCUAGUAAGUUCGCCCUUAUAGUCUGUUUCGGAUAGAAUGUUUUCGUAGAAUAUAAGUCAGAGAAAAAAGCAUGUAAGUCAGAGAAAAAAGCAUGUUUUCGUAGAAUAUUGUUUUCGUAUAUCGUAUAUAAGAGUUUUCGUAUAUCGUAUAUAAGAUAAGAAUCAAUCGUAUAUCAUAUAUAAGAUAAGAAUAAUAAGAGUUCAUUUCGAUUGGAAUGUAAUGUUGUUUACAGUGUUGUUCGAGUGGAAAGAGAACUUUUGUGCUAGUCUAGUAGGUCUCGCCCAGUAGCGCCUUGACAAUUUAUGUGUGCGAAAUGCAUGCGUUAAGGCCGGUCCCCGAGGCUGGAAAACAACUCUGGUUUUCUUUCCAUUUGAUCCAAUCUGUGCAAGUGUUAAGUCAACUCAUCACUCCUGAAAUGAAGUAUAUAGGGGGUUUCUAUUACUCCUUCAAUUCAGUAUUCCUAGCCUGGAGGUCAAUUCUGAUCUAGUCUACCCGGGCUAUCCGACCUCAACUCGUCAUCCUAUUCUUAGAUUCAGAAGAGCAGCCCUUUAGCUAGUGCCACUUAUAUAUCUGGAGAGUUUCAUCCCGGCAGUCGUUUUCCUGGUAGCAGACUUUCGCACUGGUAGCAUCCUUUCGCCCAAGAUACCCGGUUGGGGCAAUCACUCCACUUUAUACAGCUGAUGAUUUCGGAGACAAAACUAUCACUCUCCUUGACCACGACGCGCACAUGCGGUAAAGUCAAUAUCAAGUGAGUUGGGGCAACAACUAGUUGUAAGUUUUCUGCUUGCCUGGCCUUUCAUAGCUUCCCUGGCCUACCCAGCUGUAAACAAAUAAAGAGUUCAUCGCCUAUGUCGUCAAAUGCAAUUCCAUUCUUCAGGUCUAAGUAAGGGGUUUCCUCGGUUUCCUAUCAGUCAUGGAGACUCCUUUUACAGUGGAUAAUUUCCAGUGGUUGGCGGUUCAGAAAGAAUAGUUCGGGCAAAGGUCUGGUCCUCAAGCCUUAUAGACUGAAUUUAAUGAGCACUUAAAUAGAUUCAUAGUCUCCUAUAAUACAAUCAGAUAGUCUACUAUAAUAAGCUUUCACUCUCUUGCAGGGCAUAUAAUUCUCUCUUCUCACAAGCAAGUAAAUACGGAAUUGACAGUUGAUCUGAAGUAAACAAAGGCGGAUUCCUAUUGAUUUGAAGCAGAAGCUAGACUUUACUUUGUUCAUCGGUGUUAGGUAGCUUUCAGAGCUCUGUUAAUGCAAUUUCAAGCAGGUUUGAUCUCCGCUAGGCAUGCUAGAUCUACUAGGUAACUUCCCUCCCCUUUUGCCGACCUAACUGCAUCUGAAAAGAGAAGAAUGGAAUGGAAUUGAAGCGUUUGAAAGAUCUGACUUAGUUUCAAUUGAAAGAGCUGGAUAGGGAUCAUAACCACUCUUUAUAGAAGUUUAACCACCAAGCCGACAAGGAACAACUAGAGCAAUAAAUAAGAAUGUCAUUAGUGGACUACGGGCAGGAGCAAUCCAAUCCCUAGUUCCUCAAGAAGCAAGUCAAGUUAUCGGGGAUCAGUGUCCGGAUCAAGAGAAUAGCCAGUUCCAGUUCAAAAGUAUGGUUAUGAGUUCCAUUAUUGGGGAUUUGAAUUGGUCACUAGCUUGGCUGUUGCCAGAGGUAGAUUAGAGUUCGGACUAAGUCACAACUCUUUACUUACAGAACUAUCAAAUGGACAUUACCUUCAUAGCUUCACACAUGGGUGAUACUAAUACGUUUACUAGUGCUGAAGAAGAAAGUACUGGAUCGGAAGAAACUGACUCAUUAGCCAGAGGUGUAGUAGAGUAGUUUCAUCAGUGAGAGUUGAGAUCGGUAGGCCUUGGUCGUUAGUACUAGCUUGCCCGGGUGCCGGUAAGAAUCCUUUACUUCUGCAGGGGGCUAAGUGGUCUAGGAUCUAAAGCUUAUUCAUUGCCUGUGAGAGUUGAGUCAACGAGAGAAGAAGCACGGUAUCAAGGAACAGGAUCUGGCUUUUAGCGCUACUAAGGGGUCUAACCCAAAGCAUGAAAGAGGAUGGUUCUUCAAGUGAAUGAGUUUACCACGAGGCGAGAGAUUAUAUUAAUUCUUCAGGCAGGACAGCGGAAAGUAGAGUUUUCUACGUUAUCGAGUUGGAAGCGGAAGACAGGCACUCCAAGAACUAUCCCACCCAGACUAAGUGGCUAAGUUGACUGUUAAGUAGGUUCAUAUGCUUGAGAAGAAGCAGCUUAGGAAUCAAAGGAGAAAGGUGUGUGUUAGGGGAGUAUAGAACUUAUGCAGGAUAAUUAGCGGAAUAAGGAUCUGGAUCCGGAUCCUCUGUGGGAGUAGGGUAUGCAAGUGAGGUGGAGUUGCAUCUGUCUUUGUUGACUACGGGGAAGUAGAUGAGCCAUAACUUGAUUUGUUGACAGAGGAGAGUUAGAAGAGCAAGAGGUGGAUCACCAUCUUCAACAGCAAGUAAGGGAACAGCAGAAACAACAGGUAGAUCCCCAGAAGCCCUUUAACGAGUUUAGUUCCAGUAUACUCCUAUAGUUAGUUUAGUGCUUUAGCUAGUUAGAGCCUUAUGAAGUAAGGGGUUAGAGCCUUAUGAAGGGAUUAUAGCCUUCUUAGGGGUAAGCACUUUUUCUAGGACGGGUAUCAAAAUACGGAUUAUCCAUAGGCCAUAGAGAAAUUAGGAUUCUAAAUAGGAGACCUUAUCCAUAGACAAAUACGGCGAUUCGGAGAAAGUAUGACCUGGCUAUUGAACUCCAGAAGAUGAAAAUAUAGCAGCUUGGAUAAAAGCAGGAGAUUAUCUUAGCACUGCUACUCUCUCGGGUAAAGGGACUGCAGCAACGAGAACUUCAACUCAAAAGGAAUUUCAUCCUGCCCCGCCCGAGAAUCCGCUAUCUAUAGCUUCUAUUCCUAUUUAUUUCUUCCACUUAUCUGAUCCUGAUGGCUUGACUGUGUCAGGUACUAAUGGGACUGGUACUACUUAUAAUGGUAAUCCAGAAAGUAUUACCUCGGGCCUUUAACACUCAACAACUGAAGGUUCGGCUUACCUUUAUUUCGCAACGGAAAUGGGAUUGUGGGCGGAAACGAAUCUCUAAUGGGAUGGAUUGUGGGCGGAAACAAAUGAAUAUUCAGAAAUAUGGUAAAAGCUCCUUUUUUGGUUUAUACUGAUAGCUAUCCAUAUCCAAAGAUAGAAAUGGAAGAUAAGCGAUAAUGCUAUAUCCUUAUGAACAAGCUUAGUAGAAUGUUGCGCGGGAACAGAACUCGAAUAAGUACUAUUUCUAUGGGCACCUCAAUAGAAUGAAAGAAUAACCCUACUCCACAGGAGAGCAAAGAACAAAAUAGGGAUAAAGGAAAGGCGGCUGGCUUACAACAAGGAUAUUGGACUUAGAUGAAGGUACAGGAAAGGAAAGGCUUACGGGAAUGACUUAGAUGAAGGGAAAGGAAAGGCGUACGGGUGGCCCAGCCCUCUCCCUCUCCGGGGGCGCCGUGACGCUGUCUUGCUUGGUUGUAUUGAGUGCAUCACAGCUUUAAGGUAAGGCAGGUCUAUGUUCUUAGUGGGAGCCAGGGAAAUGCAGCAACUAAAGGGAAAUGAAGCAACUAAAGUCAUAAGUGGCCUUAGAAGAUCGAGUAAGAAAGAGGAUAAGCCGGCCCUUGUGCUAAGCUAAUGCGAGUGGAGUUGUGCUUACGUGAGCUAUGGAGGUUGAUUACAACUUUCUAUAUUGUUAGUUUGAGGUUAAGAUUAUUUGAUUAAGCAGAGCUCAUAGAAAAAGUAAGACACCGAUGAACCAGCCAUAAAACUACUUCCAACUGCGGUCAGGUCAACACCACUGAAUUAUAGGUUGGGUAGGUGAUUAGCUACUGAAUGGUUUAUUUGCCAUAAUGAUAGUUUCCCCUCGCUGACCGGGGUUAAGUAAGUUCUAUUCAGGAAGUAGAGUUAUUGGCUUUCCCUUCGCGCCCUGCCUAAGCUGACACUAGUAUUAGUAUAGUUUUUGUAAGUACUAGUAAGUAAGUAUAUAAGUAUAAGAAUAGAAUAGUAUAGUAGUUGGCAUAUUUCUGACUUUCUUUCCUUUCUGAACGAACCACUUGCAGUUGACCUGACAAGCAAUACCCUGCUCCGGAUUCUUGACCUGAACCCUUAUCCGUAUUCCUCACCUGCAGAAGAUGGUACUGGCUCCUGCACCUACUUCGCAUAAGGCUUCUGCUUGAAAUUCCUUAUCUGGUGUUAAAGCCGGGCAAGCAGACUAGUAGGCAAGUAACUCCCCUCCUAUAAAGGAAUUCAGAUUGGACCCUACUAAAUCAAGGGAUUAUCUCACCCAAGAGAAGAAGCGGCAGUUACAAGAUCAGAAGCGGCGCAUCUCUAAUCUAACACCCAGCUACGGCAGCAACAAAUACAGAAUUCCACAAGUGAGUCAACCUGCCUAUCCGACCCCUGAACAAAACACAUGAUAGACAAAGCGGGACCCAUAAUAGGCGCAACCACAUCUAUUCUAUGACAUUCUGCUUUCCUAUAUGAAGUGAUCCUAUGUUUCCUCUACUUAGUCAGUAUAUGAGAAAGAUGAGUUGUUUUUCGCCAGGAGCGGCUCUAUUAUGCCUGUGUUAAGUCUACCACCCUACCCGAGUGAAGUCUGCUUGACCCCGACCCGACCUCUAAUCUAAUGUUUGAGCACCCGACCUAGACUGCUUAGGGACAUUCUGACCAGUGCAUCUACUUUUCCAUUCUUUGACUCUGGCUACAAAGCUCCUGACGCCAUGCUUCCUCCCCUGUUACUUCAAUCUAGAAUUAGGCUUUACCGCUUCUAGUGGAAUACCGACCCGAGCUAACUCUCUCCUCCCUGGACUACUAUACUAUACUAUAAGUGCUUUUUCUCUUCUAUUAGAACAUCUUCUUCCCCCUGGCCUCUCUCUUUUCUUUAGAAAUCAAUUAAUAGCUUCCCGAGCCUCUACUCUGGACUAGCCUGCCCACCUCUGUUAUUAAUGACUAUCUUCUCCCGACUAGACCCUUGUAAUAUCAUGAAACUGCUUUCCCCGUGUUUGGGCACCCGACCCGACCUUUAGACUAAUAUACUACCAGUUGGGGCAAGAACUAGACUUUCAACUGAACCUCGAUCCUGUACCUCUGGCUCAUCUAUCGGGGAGUCAACUAAUACAGAUUCCACUGGUUCCCUUGCUGACCUCUGUUAAGGGGAAUGCGCUAGCUAUUAUUUAUUAUGGCCUUAUCUUAUCUCUAAGCCUUAUCUUAUCUCUAAAUGCCUCUCUUAUACUGCAUUGCUAGCAAUUAUGUAUUAGGUCCAGUAUCAAAUGGAGUGGAAAGAAAGUUAGGGUCUUCGUAUAGAAAAAGUCAUUAUACAUAGGAUUGAGCGGGUUCUAUUGGCUUUCCAUUCAAGUGUUGUCGACGAGAGCAGAUACUUUCUUAAUGGAAUCAGAUGGAUCAGAGGCUCAAGCUAUAUCUAGAGUAGGAGAAUCCACCAAGCCUUGAAUCGAACUCAAAACAGACAAUACAAACUAGAAACUCAGACUUUUACUUAUAGCUUGGAAUUCCAUUAGUACUGAUCAGACUUAAACCAUUACUCACCCCUACCCUAGCUCGGAACUCAUUCUUUAGCUAUUGCAUUGGAUCCUUGCUUCCUGUCCUGUUACAAACAAAUCCAUAUCCUCUCCCCUCGAGUGCAAUUCUUACGAGUUUCAUUCCCACUAAGAGCACUCCAUACUCUGUCCUGUCCUGUCAAACCGGAAAGUAGAAAACGACUUUGAUAUCUGCCUUACUUCCCUUUCUACUCCCCUCAUAUAUAAGUUAGCAGUUUCAAACAUUCCAACAUUGAUUAACAGCUGAUUCUCUGUCUUCUCUGGUCGACUACUAAUGUAUAGCGUUUGUAAGUGGGGCUUUCUGAUCCCCUUGGUGACCGUAUUCCUUAUAAGAUAACCCUAGAGCGGGCUUCGUAUUCCUUAUAAGAUAACCCUAGAGCAGGCAAUUCUCCCGUGAUAAGUAAGGCAACCUCCAACCCUAGAAACUCACCUAGACAAUUCUAGCAGCUGCUACUUUAUGAGGAGUCUGCUUGUCCGCGACUUAAUAUAAGGGCACCGAGUAAACUCAUAAUUCAUCUAUUUCUAUUUCCACUGCUGGACUACUCGUAUACUACUAUAUGCGCUUUGACUACUUAGUUCAUUUCUUAUUCUUUGACUACUUAGGUAAAUUCCAUCCUUUGACUCCCCGGUUUCAUUCUUGAUAGUAGUUGUCUCAUCCUUGCUUGCCUGCGGACUGUUUGAGCCUGUAACACCCGGAGAUCAGUCUGAGGCAUGUGGGUUGCACUCUGAUAGUAGUUAGCUCCAUUCCGAACCUACCCGGUAUCAGUCUUCCACUCCCUUGUUUGAGUCUUGCCAGCAGUGUUUCAAGCCUGAGUUGAGUGGUUCUGCUUGAAGUCUUGGAUGCAGUGGGUGAGGUCUGCCUAUGCCUAGUAUCGGUCUUGCCCUCGGGUCGGAUAGGCUGGUAGUCAGUUGUUAGAGACCCCGACCGCCCGCUCUUCCCGAAUGUCCACCACCGGCCCUUAUCCUAUCCAGGUCUGCUUUUUUCGCGCCCUUUCAGUGGUUGUGGUCGACGGGUUAGAAAAGACAUAAAUUCAUGAAUGUUAUUUUGGGGAUAAUACACCUACCAAGACGAAAGCCAAAGAAAGGUAAGUUAAGUAGGUGAACGUACCGAAGCCCAUAAGUAGGUGAACGUACCGAAGCCCAAUAGGAUCUUUGAUUGAAAUCUUGAUAGAGACUAAUUGAUUGACCCUAAUAAUAAUAACUAAACCAACAUGAAUCUGAUGUUGUAGAUGCACCCUACCCUGAUCGAUGCUAUAGUUUGCUUGAACGUAGCUAAGCGGAAACUUGCUCUUGUGACGUCUCUAAGCCCUCUUAUGUUGCUGCGCCACUCCACGAUUCCUCACCCACUUGAACUUUCACUGAGGCCCUCUGGCUCUGAUGGUCCUCCAUUGGCCUUUGAUCCUUAUCCUGCAUCUAGGUGUACUACCACUUACAUGACUACACCACCACCAUAAGAUUAUGCCCCCGUGUCACGUCAUCAUAUGAUUACUCGGUAAAGGUAGGGCACCAGGAAACCUAAGGUCUUCUCCGACCCGACACUCACUACCUUGUUCCGGCAUGCUUUCUUGCUCUUCAAUCCGAUGCUUCUUUUACCGGCUUAUAUAAUCCGAAGGUACCUGAAUGGCAAGGAUCCAUGCUUUAUUUGGUCAAUGCUAUACUGAGGCAAUUAUGGUUCUUCUCCUUUAUGUCAAUUAAAUACUCAUUACUUGAAGCGAUGGAGCAGGCUCGUUUAUGAAUUCUGCGAUGCUUUGAGAUGCAGGUAACCCAUGGCUAAGAUCCCUUCCUCACUCAUACUUUAGGAAGCUUACUUCCCCCUUUUAUUGUGCGAUUGAAAAUACACGCAUGACAACCAUGAGAAUAGAAUGUUGUAAAAACCCUAUUAACUCUAAAACAAACGUUAGCACCCAAAUGAAAUAAGCGGACUUUAGCGCGUUGCUUAUAGAAUGGAUCUGGCACAAAUGAAUGAUAUAACUUAUAGAAAGGAUCUGACACACAUGAAUGAUAUAAAUAGCAUGAAUGAUAUAACACACAUGAAUGAUAUAAAUAGGUAUGGAACUUGUUAACUUGUUUGUAACUCGUAAGCGAUGUAACUCCUAACGCUUUAUAGAGUUUAAUUGCGUGGUUGCGCUUGGACUUUAAUAAUCUGCUGUGUAAGAAACUUAUGUAUGCAUUUUGUUACUGCUUUAUGUAACUGCUUUAUGUAAGCCCUAUGCAAUUGAAAUGUAAGCCCUAUUGAAAUUCAGUAAGGGAGGAAGGAAUCAAUGUAUUACUUGUGUUUCUUCAGCUCCCGUUAGCUCCUCUCACUAACGCUAUUCAUCUUGUGUUUCUUCAGCAUUUAAGCGUUAGUGGCACCAUUGACUGACGACCUUAAGCGCUACGUAUACUUUUGUCUAGUUAUAAUUGGAACAAGUGUCACAGAACAAGCAAUAGCGAUUGGGUUUUUCUAUUCCUCUCUUCAAGCAAGGGUGAAAGAAUGAACACUUUCUAAAAUAAAGAAAGGUGCUGAAAGCCUUAUCGAGCCGAGCUCCGUGGGUAUUCCCAAAAUCCGUCUUAGCUUAGCACUGCUUAUACUACAUAUCUUGCUUCCACCUCUGUUCUUGCUGAAUCUGGACAUGAGGCUUCUAGUAACCGCCGGUGAACAUAGGACAAUUACAUUCCUAUCUUAUAGAGCGGUGCAGUAAAGAUUACAGAAAUGAUUCUUUGCGCAGUAAAGAUUACAGAAAUGAUUCUUUGCCUUGUACGCUUAAGGCGGUCAGGUCAGUUCAUUCUUAUACUUGUGCUUACGUAAAGGGAGUCGUUGACGGGACGGGAGAGUAGUUUCAUUGGAAUGUUUUACUCAGUGAGUCCGGGUGUUCUGGGGCGUCAGUGGACAAGCUACGUAUAAUCCUAGAGCUCCUAUAGCAUAUAAAGUCACUCACUACUACAGUUACACUGGCUUAUGUGAGAGUUGCAAAUCCAAAAUCCAAUCUAUGUUUCUUUAAUUGAAAUUAGCUAUCUUCUCCGCUAGGGCAAAUAGACAUACCUCCUUCUUUUUAGCCCAUAUGGUUGGUAUAUUCCAUAAUAUAGUAUUUUACUCGUUACUUUCAUUUCCGUUUGCUGAUUAUGCUCUCAAAUAUUCCUCUCCUUACACCCGCAACUUAAGAUUCUCUCGUAGCGUAGACAGUAAAGCAAGCUAGCUUUCAACCGAGUACAAGGCGAGGCGGGCUGUUAACAAAUCCGCUUUCUGAUUCCCCCAUAACUCUAGUGUCAUUGCUGCUGACCGCUGGCUCUUCACCUUUGCUUACUGCUUGUUCCCUUUCUUGUUCUGCUGACUCAUUGCUUCCUUUAAGAAGGAUAAUGGAGACAGGCCCAUAUCAAUAAUUUAAGGAAAUAGAAUAUAGGAAGGCAUAUAUCUAAUAUAAGGAACGAGCUAUACAUAUAAUAAACUAGAAUAGAGGCGCGUAUACAGACCGAUAAAUCAAUACAAUAAACACGAGAAUAAAGGCAUACCCAUCAGGCAUACCCAUCAUUCACACCAAUAUCAUUUAAGCGAGGCAUACCCUAGUGUUUAAGCAGCCUUUACUUCAUACUUAAUUCAAUAAGCUAUCUUAACCACGAGUUGCAUAAAUAAUAUCACAUGAGGGCCGUAGAAUCUAUUAAGUUAGUAGGGGCAGAAGAAGUUGUUCAAAGGAAAGUAACCAUGCAUGCUCAAGUAACGUAAAACAGGAAAAUAUCACUUUUCAGAAAGGAAAGAAUGGAAUCUACCUAACACAAUAUGGAAUAGGUAACCAUAUCUGCUGACAUCUUAUUGAAUAUAUUGAAUCGCCACUUUCCAGUUCGUCAAGCAAGCAUGAACAGCGCUGUAGGGCCUGUGUGAGGUGAAGUCCACUUUUCUUGUUAAGAAGUCAACCGCUGUUCGUUCCUUAGAAAGAGAAAAUGACCAUUUAGCUAGCUUCAUAUAGAACUGAGUUAAGAACACCUAUGACUGAUGGCUCAGCUCACCCCUAGGAGUAGGAACACCUUAACUUAUAUCUAAAUCAUAUUGCACCUAAACACUUAUAUAAUAUAGCAUGCAUAGUAACUGAACUUAAACUAACUAGUUCGGCCCUAAAGCUUGCUUGCUUGAGCGGGAACCUUACUGCUGAUUACUUCUUAUAAGUUUUCCGCCUAUUCCUUACUCACUUAUAACACACAACUUCCUUCCCUUUUCUAAAAUGACUGUAUUACUCUUUGCUUUGCAUAAAGGGAGUGAGUUUUUAAGUCAAGAAUCUAGGCUACAAAGGCAUUAGUUAAGCUUUUCGUGGUUUUAAUGGUGGACUAGAAGAUACCGCGCUUCAACAGUCAGAUAGUAUGUGCUGGACCCGGACCCUAAACUUGGAGAAUGGAAUAUAUCUUUUAAAGAGCCCAAUAUAGAUUGAUGUAAAGACACUGUAGUUAUUUUGCCUCUGUCUGGUCUGCCCCCUUCUUUUUCAACUAAUACUUUAUGGAAUCUCUUGCCUCUUGCUCCCGUUAGCACAUCCGAGAAGGAAUGUAUUAUACCCUUUAUCCAGCUUUCCAGGCAAGGCAAUUCAAGUACUUAUCGGUGUUGAACUAUUUACCUGCAACCCAUCUUUACCGCUUCCUUGACUUUCAUUCCAUAAGUGAUCAAAAGUGAACUUCAUUAGUGCAAUGGUAUAUAGAGAAUAUGACCUUAUAUAGCUAUACUCUACUAUCUACUUUACUUAGUUUUGCUUGUUUGCUUGUUCUUAUCAUAAGCCGAAUUCGUUUCAUAAGACUUCUUGGAAAAAGCCAAUAAGAAAAAGAAUCAUACGCUUAAUGAACUCCCUAUACAUAAUCUAUUUCACUGCGGUGCGGAUCCGGUGCUUUAGAGAUGAAAAGCCUUAAUCAAUAGAAAAGUCCAAGUACAAGCUUCCAACUCGGUCUCCAGAUCUUCUUUUGAGUCUCGAUUCCCCUUGAAACCCGGGGCCUUAAACCCAAAUUAAGCUCUAGGAAAGCAAUCCACUAAUCCUUCUUUAUAGUGAGCCUUUAUUUAUGGAUGGUGUUCUCGGUAUCGUUUUCUUCAAGAAGGGAAGGAAUCAGGGGAUGCCCGAGAGUCAAUCAUUUCACUCCUUAUGGAUCAAGCCUGACUUUACUGAGAGAAACGGAUCUUGCCCCCAAACCCUGCUGUUUCUAAAAGGAGUAGGUCGUAGGCAGGUUGAGUUUCCAGAAGCCCACUAAACGUGUCUCUAAAUCACAGGGGGGAUAAAUAAACGCUUACUUAUGGGAAUUCGAAAGUAGAUACAUAUUCUGAAGCACUCUCCUAUCUCUUGUAUGCUUGCGGCCUAAGGAGAAAGCAUCAAGGUGAGUGAGAAAAAGGCGUAGUGCACUCAACAAGCAGGUCUUAUAGAGUUCCAGCGGAAAGCAGGGUUAAGGUAAGAAUGAUCAUCUCCGCCGGGCUAAAAGGGAUGCUCUUAGGUCAAGUUCAGUGGUGCAAUAGAGAUCAAAUCCGUUCCAUUUUGAUUCAUAGCUAACGGAGUCAUUUGUUUUCAAGUGUAGUGAGAAAGUGUGCUGUGUAUAAGGCCGUUUUCAAGAUCAGGAUCAGUGCGAAAGGAAGCAACAACCGGUUAUUCAAGUAUAGUUUACAAGGGUGUUAGUCUUGUAAGGGAGUGCUAAACAGCGUCUGGUUCUGUAAUUGGCGCUUUACCUUUAUUGUAUCCUCAAUCAUCAGCUUUUUCUUUCUAUAUUAGAAUCUCAUAUUUUGUUUGCUAUACCUUGU
rnacentral:lncRNA from 1 species